AAAUUUGGGCAACAAGAGUGAUUUGCUUCUCAAAUACAACCCUGUUCACAAGAAGGUUCCAGUGUUUGUUCACAAUGAGCAGCCCAUAGCAGAGUCUCUUGUGAUUGUUGAAUACAUUGAUGAGACAUGGAAGAACAACCCCAUCUUACCUUCUGAUCCUUACCAAAGAGCCUUGGCUCGUUUCUGGUCCAAAUUCAUUGAUGAUAAGGUAACUCAACAUUUCAAAAAUCUUCUUAGUUUUCAUGAUUUGUGCUGAUUUGUCAGCAAAACAUCACGAUGAAAUCUAUAUAUGUGAAAUCUUUCUGGUGUGGAAUAUAUAUGUGAAAUCUUUGAAUAUGUUAGAGAACUCAAAAGUCAACAGCCAACCAUGAUUUUUUUUUAAUGUAUCAACUUUUUGUAAAACAAUAUUAGUGAUUUGAAACUUUAUGGAAUCAUAUACUAUGAUUUUGGGAGAAAUUUUAUUUUAUUUUACUAUUUUUAUCUGGGGUGGGGGGAUUCUGUCACGUAUUUGUUUCUAUAUAACUCGAUCUAAAUUCUGUUUGUCCUAAUCACUUUAUGAAAUAAUUACUAAUAAAUAUUGUGAUUUGCGAAAUCAGAUUGUGGGUGCUGUAUCGAAAUCUGUUUUCACGGUUGAUGAGAAAGAGCGUGAGAAGAAUGUUGAAGAAACAUAUGAGGCUCUUCAGUUUCUUGAGAAUGAGCUGAAGGACAAGAAGUUUUUUGGAGGAGAGGAAUUUGGGUUGGUAGAUAUUGCUGCUGUCUUCAUAGCAUUUUGGAUCCCAAUUUUUCAGGAAAUAGCAGGGUUGCAGUUAUUCACCAGUGAGAAAUUUCCUAUACUCUACAAAUGGAGCCAAGAAUUCCUUAACCACCCUUUUGUGCACGAAGUCCUUCCUCCUAGAGACCCACUUUUUGCCUACUUCAAAGCCCGCUAUGAAAGUCUUUCUGCUUCAAAAUAGACUUAUUUAAGGAUAUUUGUUGAACAACUUGUGUCUUGUUGAGUUAUUGCUGUUUGAAUUUCAUGUAAAAUGAUACUAGCUAUAUGUAAAUCCCAGAAAAAAAAAAAAAAGAAUCCUAGGAUCUUGUUUUCGUUUUGGCCAUUUCAGUUAAUAAAGAAAUUAUAUUUUUCGAUAUAAAUUUUGUUGUGAAAAGCUUUAUUCUUCCUUCAUAAAAUCCUUCAAUGUGCAUAAUCUUAUUCGUAGAGAGACUUAGAGCGGCUAGUAGCUACUACCUUGAAAUUUUUUCUUUAAUUCGAAGGACAACGUAUAUAUUAUAUAAUAAUAAUUAUUGCAAGUUGGAAAUCGUGUAAGCAUGUUUCAUGACUAUAUGAGUUAACAAUAUACUGUCUUGCCUCUGCAACCUUCAUGGAUUCUAAAAUUAUUCCCUUGGCUGCAGUUGUUAUUUCAAUGUUGCAACAUGAGUUAACAAUACAUUGCAUUAACAUGAGUGAACAAUACAUUACGCAUGCUGUUUUUAAGGAUUGUUUUAUGAUUUUCUCUGCUGUUUUCUGUGCUGCACAAGUGAUGGCCUUUCAAUUUUCUGAUUUUUUGUUGUUGUUUAUAAACUGCUCUUUACUUUGGAGUACGACUUCACUAUUAAUUCAUGAGACAAUUGCUGAAUUGUUGAAGUCGUGAAAUAUCACUCGACUUCACUAUUAAUUAGUUUUGCAUUUUUAAUAUCACUUAGUUAUUAUUAAUUUAUGGUUUAGUAUUUUAGAAUAUUAGUGUUUAGUUAUUAUUAAUUUACGAUUUAGUUAGAUAAAUUAUUAUACAUGUUAAAUUAAUUUUGUUAAAUUAUUAUUUUGUGUUUUAGAAUAUUAGUGUUUAUUACGGUUUAGUUACAUAAAUUAUUAUAGAUGAUCAAUUAAUUUUGUUAAAUUAUUAUUUUAUGUUUUAGAAUAUUAGUGUUUAGUUAUUAUUAAUUUACGAUUUAGUUAGAUAAAUUAUUAUACAUGUUAAAUUAUUAUUUUGUGUUUUAGAAUAUUAGUGUUUAGUUAUCAUUAAUUUAUGGUUUAGUUACAUAAAUUAUUAUAGAUGAGCAAUUAAUUUUGUUAAAUUAUUAUUUUAUGUUUUAGAAUAAUACCGUUUAGUUAUUAUUAAUUUACAGUUUAGUUAUUAUUUUGUGUUUUAGAAUAUGAGUUAGACAAAUUAUUAUUACACUGUUCACUCCCGUGAAACCUAUAAAAAGAGAGUUCAUUCUCACUUCGAUGCAUCUGUUGCAUCCAAACAAUCACCCUAGUUCUCUGAUUUUGACGUGUUUCUUAGAGUCAUACUGACAUAAUUUUUUUAGUGUUACAUACAUGAAAAAGGUAUUUAAAAAUGUUUUAAUUUUUUACAUUACAUGUAAUCCAAUGAUUCCUUACUAAUCAAUAAUUUUUUUUUACAAAUGGCUACUGAAGAACCCAUAAUAAGAGAUAAUGUUAGUGACUUCAGUGAUGAUGAGCAACAACAUGAUUUUGGUGAACAUGGUGAACCAAGCAAUCAAAGUGAGUCAUCUUCAUAUUUUGAAACUAUUAGUAGCCAAAUUUCUAAAAAUCAAGAGUACUCAAAUCCUUAUCAAAGGACAACGAGUGUUAGUACAAAUGACCUUUAUGAAGGGUUGAUAUUUGAAUCAAAACAAGCCGCUGUGAAUGCCAUUAAACAAUUCCAUUUUAUGCAUUCAUUUAAUUUUGAUGUGGUCAAGAACAAGCGUGACAAGUAUGUUGUCAUGUGUAAUCAAUAUGGUAAUGGAUGUUAUUGGAGGGCGAGAGUAUCGUUCAGCAAAAUACGCAAAAGGUGGGAGCUGAAGAAAUUAAACGGUAUUCACACAUGCACAAAUUCUACCAUAUCACAAGAUCAUGUUAGGUUAGAUUCUUCUGUAAUUGCCCAUAAUAUUGUUCAUUUAGUGAAAACAAAUUCGGAUAUCGAAAUCAAAACCUUGAUUGCAGACAUGCAUCAACGGUUUCAUUACAUUGUUUCAUACAAAAAAGCAUGGACAGUAAACAAAAAGAUCUUGAAAUGGCAUUUGGAAGUUGGGAACAAUCAUAUAGUUACCUGCCUAUAUGGUUCACAGCUGCUCAACACUUUGUACCAGGUACCAUAGUAAAAUACACAACUUCAUCUUCAAUGGAGGAAGGUAACGAUAACCCUCUUAGGGUGAUUCUUAACCGUGUAUUUUAGGCGUUUAAUCCAUGCAUUGAAGGCUUCAAAUAUUGCAAGCCACUUGUGCAAGUAGAUGGGACAUUUUUAACUGGCAAAUACAAUGAUACUUUGUUGACUGCCAUCGGACAAGAUGGUAGUAGGGACAAUUUUCCACUUGCUUUUGCAAUUGUUGAGAGCGAGACUAAAGAAGCUUGGAUAUGGUUCUUGCAUUAUUUGUGAAGAUAUGUUACUCCGCAACCAAAUUUGUGUAUUAUAUCAGACAGGGGAACUGGUUUGCUAGCAACUUUACAAUCCAAACACGUUGGUUGGAAUGGACCAGAUGUUUCGUCUGUGUAUUGCAUUCGUCACAUUGCAUCAAAUUUCAACAAAUAGUUUAAAAAUGUUAACUUAAAAAAACAAGUCAUCAAUAUGGGUAUGUUUCUUCCUAUUUCAUGCAUCAUAUUCUUGCUUUAUUACAUGUUCACUAAAUUUUUUACUCAUUAUUCUAUCUUUUCGCACAGGGUAUGAGAUGAGGAAAUCAUGAUUUGAGGCUAAGUUGCUCGCUAGGCGAGCAGAGUUUCCACAAGCAGCAGAUUGGUUGGAUCAAAUUCGUAAGAGUAAAUUGACUCAGGCCUACGAUGAAGGAAAACGGUAUGGCCAUAUGACUACCAACCUUGUUGAAUGUAUGAAUUCUGUUUUGAAAGGAGCCCGAACAUUACCUAUUACUGCCUUAGUCAAUGAAACAUUUAAUAAAAUAAAUGAUUCAUUUGUCACUAACGACAUCAAAAUCAUGAAUAUGAUAAAGGCAGGGCAUAGGUACUCCGAAGACGUAUAUGUCAUGAUGCAAGAAAAUCAACACAUUGCUACCUCACAUUAUGUUCGCAUGUAUGUUCGAGAAACAAAGGAGUUUGAGGUUCAAGAAAUUGCAAAUACGCGACUUGGUCGACGAGGAAUGGCAUGCACUGUCAAAUUGAAUGAAUGGUUGUGUGAUUAUGGACAAUUUCAAGCACUUCGACUACCUUGCUCACAUGCAAUUGCAGCGUGUGCUUUUUGCAAUUUAAAUUAUGAUGACUUUGUUGACCCUGUAUACAAGUUGGAAAAUAUUUUCAAAGUUUAUCAACAUCAUUUUCAUUCCCUUGGAAGUGAAGACACGUGGCCUCAAUAUUUAGGUCCGCAUUUUAUGUCUGAUCCUUCGAAACGACGACAGAUAUCAGGCAGGCCAGCCACUACUCGGAUACAUAAUGAGAUGGAUGAAUCAAUUCCAAAUAGGCUUAAGAAAUGCUCAUUAUGUAAAACUGAAGGACAUAAUCAGAGUAACUGUCCAUACAAACAAGUACAUAACUAAAAUAACUUGUAAUUUUUAUGUUUUUCUUUCAUUUGUAUUGUGCGUUUUAUAUUAAUGUAUUAAUUAUGUUGUUUUUAAUUUUUAUUGAUAAAUUAUUUAAACUUUAAAUAAAAAACAUUUAAAGUAAACUAUAAUAAAAAUAUAUAUAACAUGUUUUAAAUAAUUAAACAUUAAAAUAAAAUAAUAACAUAUCAAAUAAAAUCACAAAAAAUAUACUAAUGAAAUCAACUUAAUAUUAUUUAUUAUAUAUUUAAAUAUAUAUUUUUUAACUUUUUUAUUUUAAAAAAAUAAAAUUGUUAACAUUAUAAAAUUAAAAAACAAAUUUAUGAAAAAAAAGGUUAACAAAUUAAAAACAAACUACAAAUAGUAAAAUAACGUUUUUAAAAAAAAAAGGAGGUUACGAUCUCAAAAUCGUAUACCUCAUGAAAUUUUUAAAAAAUAAGUAAGACAGUUUUACAACUUUAAAGUAAUAAAACAAAAUACGAGUUUUUUUUUAAUACGACUUUAAAGUCGUAAAAAAAUUAUAUUUACAUUGAAGUUGUAAAUAUUUUUACGAUUUCAGUUAAAAAAAUAAGAAAACUAAAAAGUCGUAAUAGGUGCUAACAACUGUUACAACUUAACCCGUUUUAGAUAAUUUUUUAAAAUAUACCCCAAAUGAAAAAUUGCGGAUUAUUUUAUCCCCAAUUGGUAAAAAAGCACCUGAAUACUAGAAACAAGGGUGGUCAAAGAUUCAAAGUAAUGAAUUUAUAAAAAAAAAAAGAAAAUAUUUAUAUAAUUACACAAAAUCUUAAAAAAUGUUGUUAUUAUUUACUCUAAUUUAUAAUUUGAAUUUAGGAUCGAGUAUAUUUAAGGAAAGUUCUCUACGCGGUUUACGUAAUCUCUUACAUCAUUUAUUUUUCCACGUUUGUUUACUCUGAGGAAUCUUCUUGAUAGGGGAAAGUUUUUUCAUAUUUUUUCUAGAUCCUUCUCAUGUGCAAUGUCUCCGCAUUCAUACGCAGCAAUCAAAAUGGAAUUAAUACACGGUAGCACUUUCCCAUUUUUUUGUUAUCGUCCCCACUAUUGACUAUACCCAUGAUAUGUAUAUAGGUAUAUCUUUUCUAAUUGAUUACGUAUCUGCUGAAUACUAGCUAGUCCUGAUUCCUAGCUCUAUAAAAGGAGAAUACCAUAGGAAUUCAUCACAGACAAACAAACAAUUUACCAGCUAUACUUGUUCCUUUUGAAGGUUAGAAGUGCUACAAUACAAACAAUGGCAGCUACUCAGGAAGAUGUGAAGCUUUUGGGUAUUGUGGGAAGCCCAUUUGUGUGCAGGGUCCAGAUUGCCCUUAAGUUGAAGGGAGUUGAAUACAAAUUUUUGGAAGAAAAUUUGGGCAACAAGAGUGAUUUGCUUCUCAAAUACAACCCUGUUCACAAGAAGGUUCCAGUGUUUGUUCACAAUGAGCAGCCCAUAGCAGAGUCUCUUGUGAUUGUUGAAUACAUUGAUGAGACAUGGAAGAACAACCCCAUCUUACCUUCUGAUCCUUACCAAAGAGCCUUGGCUCGUUUCUGGUCCAAAUUCAUUGAUGAUAAGGUAACUCAACAUUUCAAAAAUCUUCUUAGUUUUCAUGAUUUGUGCUGAUUUGUCAGCAAAACAUCACGAUGAAAUCUAUAUAUGUGAAAUCUUUCUGGUGUGGAAUAUAUAUGUGAAAUCUUUGAAUAUGUUAGAGAACUCAAAAGUCAACAGCCAACCAUGAUUUUUUUUAAUGUAUCAACUUUUUGUAAAACGAUAUUAGUGAUUUGAAACUUUAUGGAAUCAUAUACUAUGACUUUGGGAGAAAUUUUAUUUUAUUUUACUAUUUUUAUUUGGGGUGGGGGGAUUCUGUCAAGUAUUUGUUUCUAUAUAACUCGAUCUAAAUUCUGUUUGUCCUAAUCACUUUAAGAAAUAAUUACUAAUAAAUAAUGUGAUUUGCGAAAUCAGAUUGUGGGUGCAGUAUGGAAAUCUGUUUUCACGGUUGAUGAGAAAGAGCGUGAGAAGAAUGUUGAAGAAACAUAUGAGGCUCUUCAGUUUCUUGAGAAUGAACUGAAGGACAAGAAGUUUUUUGGAGGAGAGGAAUUUGGGUUGGUAGAUAUUGCUGCUGUCUUCAUAGCAUUUUGGAUCCCAAUUUUUCAGGAAAUAGCAGGGUUGCAGUUAUUCACCAGUGAGAAAUUUCCUAUACUCUACAAAUGGAGCGAAGAAUCCCUUAACCACCCUUUAGUGCAAGAAGUCCUUCCUCCUAGAGACCCACUUUUUACCUUCUUCAAAGCCCGCUAUGAAAGUCUUUCUGCUUCAAAAUAGACUUAUUUAAGGAUAUUUGUUGAACAACUUGUGUCUUGUUGAGUUAUUGAUGUUUGAAUUUCAUGUCAAAUGAUACUAGCUAUAUGUAAAUCCCAAAAAAAAAAAAAAAGAAUCCUAGGAUCUUGUUUUCGUUUUGGCCAUUUCAGUUAAUAAAGAAAUUAUAUUUUUCGAUAUAAAUUUUGUUGUGAGAAGCUUUAUUCUUCCUUCAUUAAAUCCUUCAAUGUGCAUAAUCUUAUUCGUAGAGAGACUUAGAGCGGCUAGUAGCUACUACCUUAAAAAUUUUGCUUCAAUUCGAAGGACAACGUAUAUAUUAUGUAAUAUGUAAUUAAAUUUCAGCCAUACAAUUAUUUGUGUCUCUGGUUGACUUAAUGUUGUUCAAAUUUGAUGUCAAAUUGACACUUAAAGUAAUAUGUAAUAUGAUUUCCUAAGUUCUCUUUUGCUUGCCAAGCAGCAACAUGAAAAGCUGUGUGAAACAUAGAAUUUAUAGUUUAUUGAGAUAAAAGAGCCGAGUGAAAAAAAAAUCAUGGUGUGACUCUCAGAUAAACCACAAGUUGAGAUUGUUGACCACUGAAAAUUUUCAAAAACUCCACAAAAAUGGAGUCAGGAAUCAGGAGGAUUCACCAACCAACCAACAACAUAAUAAAUCAAUUGAAUCUAAAAGGAAGAGUAUUAGUAAGUAAUAACACGUUCUCUAAUACAUUUUUAAGACACUUUUUUUUUAUAAAGAAAUCUGUAUAGUAAAUUUUAAAUUAAAUAAUAAAUUGUUAAUAAAAUAUAAAGCACCAUUAAAUUUUUUUUAUUUUUAGAAUUAUUUGUUUACAUGCAGAAAUAAUUAUUAAUUCUUAAGUAUCCCUUAAAAGGAUAUAAGAAAAUUAGUGUUUAUAACACACAUUUAUUGUAGGGGUGUUCAAAUCUAAACAAAUCCAAAAAUAAAUCACAAAAAUUGAUAAAAAAAAAACUUCAAACCAAUAAAAAUUUAUUUGUUUUGGAAUUUUUUAUUACUAUUUUGUAUAAUCAAUCAGGUUUGAAUUUGGAUGAUAUUUUCAAAAUUGAACCAAUUCAAAUCAAACCUCACAUUAUAUUAACAUCAAUCUUACUAGGUAUUGAGCAUUAGGUAAUUGUAUUUUAAACUUUUAAUAGUUAUAAUAUAUAAUUUAUAAUUUAAUUCUUUUUAUAAGAUGUUCAUAAUAUGUGGUUUUUAUUAUUCUAUUAAUAAUAAAUAUUAAAUUAAUUUAUAAUAUUUUUUGCUCUGUAAUUUGAUCUGCAUAAUUUACUUUUACAUGUUACAGAAAGAGCAUAGCAAUAUAGUUGAAGAAUAAUGCUAAAUAUCAAAUAUUAUGCAAGUUACUUUUACAUCACAAGAUGAUGAUGCCAAUAUAAUUAAGAAAAAAUGUUAAACAGUAGUAAAAAGUAUUGUUUUUCAAAUUUUAAAAAGAGAUAGAAAAGAAAAUUUAUAUUUUAGAUCAGUAUAGCAUAAUAAUAAUUAUGUAAAUUUAGUUAUUAAAUUUUAUAUUGUAUUUAUAAAUUUUAAAAAACAUAAAUUCAUCAAACUGAACUGUAAAAAAUUAGUUUGGUUUAAUUUAAAUUUCAUGUUACUUUUAAAUUCAACUAAUCCAAAUCACAUAUUAAUUCUAUGUUUGGUUAUUAUUUUUCUUCUAAAAAUCAAACUAAAUCGCAUUACAUAUACCAUGUGUUUUCAGUUUGAAGAGAAAGAAGUGACGAGAGUUUUAAGGGAAAAGUGAAAAAAAAUGUGGGACUUAUUUAAAAAAAUGAAAUGACUCAUCUGGUUAUCUAUCAUUUUAUUUUGAAAUAUGUAAAUAUAAUAUUAAUACGAAUAAAUACAUAUUUACAACAAACACACAUUUUUCUAUUUCUUCUAUUUAUUUCUACUUGUCUCAAUCCAAGUAACUUAAAAAUCUUCUCAUUAAAUACUCAUUCUCUCUUCUAUUCUCUUCUCUUUUAAAUCUUUUUAAAAUUUUCUCUCAUUUUUUCCAUACGCUUUGGCAUGCACGAGCAUUGCAAUAGGACCUUCUUUGACAUCUCACAAGAAUGUUAGCACCUCAAAUCAUUUAUCAUACAAACAAAACAUUAACGCACUAUAAUUCAUUUGUAUUAAAUAUAAGAUUUAAAUAUAAUUUUAAUAUUAAUCCUUAAAAAAUAAGACCAUUUUGACUUUGGUCUUUUAAAAAAAUUAUUUUAAUUUUAGUCCAUGUAAAAUUUUUUUUUUUAAAUCUUUAUUGUCAAAUAGCAACAUUAACUGAUAUGAUAACUACAAUAUUUCACAUAAUUAUGAAAUCUUAAAGAAUAGGUACAUCUAAUAUGCUUAAAACUGAGUAAGUAUAUCAGACUGGUCGAUAAGAUUUUUUUUUUUUUAUGUAAUUUGAUGAGAUAUAUUAAAACAUAGUUUAUUAAAAAGUAUAUGCAUAAUUGUUUUGUCAUGCUUUUUAAUUACGUGGCAAAGUCAAUAAAAUCUAAAUAUCAUUGUUAUGUCAUCAAAUUGGAUCAUUUGACAGAGACUAAAACUAAACAUAUUAAAUUUUACGUGAACUAAAUCAAAAUAAUAUUAUUUUUCAGAAUAUAAAAAUCAUAUUUAUGCCUAAUAAGAAAUUACAUAAUCUCUUGCAUCAUUUUUUCUCUCUCUUCAUAUAUAGGUGCAUAAAAUUAUUUUGAUGAGGAAGGUUUCUUCAAUAUUUUCAAAAUCCUCCUUCAAUUUAGUGAUUGCGGUAGAUAUUCAAUUAGAAAAAAUAUCUCUUAGUAAAAUCAAUAUCAUUGAUUAUUUUUUUAGAAUUCCUAUAUUGCAUGUUAUGAUAAUUUAUAGAAUAAAUCAUAGCAAUACUCGUUGAACUUUUAUCAAAUUAUACAUAAUUUUAUCCUUUUUUAUUUUCCUAGACUUCUUUUUUUAAGUUUGAAAACAUUAUAUUGACGUCUCUUUAAAUGUUUGAAAACAUUACACUACAAUAAUCUUCCUUUAAUUUUCAAAAUAUUACAUUGACACUUUCUUAUAUGUUUAAAAAUGCUAUUGUAAUAUUCCUUCAAAUCUUACACUAAUAUUUCUUAUAAGAAAUGUCAAAAGUAAUGAUCCUAUAAAAAGAUGUAUAAUUAUAUUAAAUUUUUAUAGAUGUUGUUGUAAUUUACUCUAAUGUAUUCAUCUUUUGUUCUAAAAUAAUUAUUGUGUGAAAAAAAUAUUUAUUCUAAAAUAAGUAUCAUUUUAAAUUUUUAAAGUAACUUUUAUUAUUUUUUCUAUUCAUAUUCCUUAUAAUAUUAAUGAUAUGGGUAACAAAAAUUAAUAUUAAUGAUAUGGGUAACAAAAAUUAAAAGUGAAUUAAUGGUGAUAAAGUUAAAUUUAAAAAAAUGUUAUUUUUUUAUCUAUUUAUUAAUUUUUUUUAUUUGUGUAAAAUAAUCUAGUAUGAUAAUUAUAAAUAAUGAAAUAAGAAAGUAUUUUUUUUUUGUUGACAACAACCAUAAUCACUCCUUUUCAAGGGUGUGUAUUUUAUGGGAUCGAAUAAAACCACGGUGUGUGUUACUAUCUAAGUUUUAUCUAUGGAGUAAAAAGUACAUAUUUGACUAUUCAUUAGGAGAAUAUAUAUAAAAAAAAUUCUAUACGGUUUACGUAAUCUCUUACAUCAUUUAUUUUCCCACAUUCUAUAAAUAUAUAAUACAUCUUAUCUAACUGAUGACGUAUCCGCUGAAUACUAGUCCUGAUUCCCGGCUCAAUAAGAGGAGAAUACCUUAGGAAUCCAUAAGAAACAUUAAUUCACCACUAUAGUUGUUCCUUUUGAAGGUUAGAAGUGCUACAAUGGCUGCUAAUCAGGAAGAUACUCAGGAAGAUGUGAAGCUUUUGGGUAUUGUGGGAAGCCCAUUUGUGUGCAGGGUGAAGAUUGCCCUCAAGUUGAAGGGAGUUCAAUACAAAUUUUUGGAACAAAAUUUGAGGAACAAGAGUGAACUGCUUCUCAAAUCCAACCCAGUUCACAAGAAGGUUCCAGUGUUUAUUCACAAUGAGAAGCCCAUAGCAGAAUCCCUUGUGAUUGUUGAGUACAUUGAUGAGACAUGGAAGAACAACCCCAUCUUACCUUCUGAUCCUUACCAAAGAACCUUGGCUCGUUUCUGGUCCAAAUUCAUUGAUGACAAGGUAACUCAACAUUUCAAAAAUCUUCUUAGUUUUCAUGAUUUGUGCUGAUUUGUCAGCUAAACAUCACGAUGACAUCUAUAUAUGUGAAAUCUUUUUGGUGAGGAAUAUAUAUGUGAAAUCUUUCAAUAUGAUAGAGAACUCAAAAGUCAACAGCCAACCAUGAUUUUUUUUAAUGUAUCAACUUUUUGUAAAACGAUAUUAGUGAUUUGAAACUUUAUGGAAUCAUAUACUAUGAUUUUGGGAGAAAUUUUAUUUUAUUUUACUAUUUUUAUUUCGGGUGGGGGGAUUCUGUCACGUAUUUGUUUCUAUAUAACUCGAUCUAAAUUCUGUUUGUCCUAAUCACUUUAAGAAAUAAUUACUAAUAAAUAAUGUGAUUUGCGAAAUCAGAUUGUGGGUGCUGUAUUGAAAUCUGUUUUCACGGUUGAUGAGAAAGAGCGUGAGAAGAAUGUUGAAGAAACAUAUGAGGCUCUUCAGUUUCUUGAGAAUGAGCUGAAGGACAAGAAGUUUUUUGGAGGAGAGGAAUUUGGGUUGGUAGAUAUUGCUGCUGUCUUCAUAGCAUUUUGGAUCCCAAUUUUUCAGGAAAUAGCAGGGUUGCAGUUAUUCACUAGUGAGAAAUUUCCUAUACUCUACAAAUGGAGCCAAGAAUUCCUUAACCACCCUCUUGUGCAAGAAGUCCUUCCUCCUAGAGACCCACUUUUUACCUUCUUCAAAGCCCGCUAUGAAAGUCUUUCUGCUUCAAAAUAGACUUAUUUAAGGAUUUUUGUUGAAUAACUUGUAACUUGUUGAGUUAUUGCUGUUUGAAUUUCGUGUCAAAUGAUACUAGCUAUAUGUAAAUCCCAGAAAGAAAAAAAAAGAAUCCUAGGAUCUUGUUUUCGUUUUGGCCAUUUCAGUUAAUAAAGAAAUUAUAUUUUUCGAUAAUAUCAAUCUUACUUACACACAUUCAAAUCAAACCACACAUUAUAUUAAUAUCAAUCUUACUUACACACAUUAUAUUAAUAUCAAUCUUACUUACUAGGUAUUGAGCAUUAGGUAAUUGUAUUUCAAACUUUUAAUAGUUAUAAUAUAUAAUUUAUAAUUUAAUUCUUUUUAUAAGAGGUUCAUAAUAUGUGGUUUUUAUUAUUCUAUUAAUAAUAAAUAUUAAAUUAAUUUAUAAUAUUUUUUGCUCUGUAAUUUGAUCUGCAUAAUUUACUUUUACAUGUUACAGAAAGAGCGUAGCAAUAUAGUUGAAGAAUAAUGCUAAAUAUCAAAUAUUAUGCAAGUUACUUUUACAUCCCAAGAUGAUGAUGCCAAUAAUAUAUAAUUAAGAAAUAAUGUUAAACAGUAGUAAAAAGUAUUGUUUUUCAACUAAAAUAUUUUAAAAAGAGAUAGAAAAGAAAAUUUAUAUUUUAGAUCAGUAUAGCAUAAUAAUAAUUAUGUAAAUUUAGUUAUUAAAUUUUAUAUUGUAUUUAUAAAUUUUAAAAAACAAAAAUUCAUCAAACUGGUCUGAAUCAAACUGUAAAAAAUUAAUUUGGUUUAAUUUAAAUUUCAUGUUACUUUUAAAUUCAACUAAACCAAAUCACAUAUUAAUUCUAUGUUUGGUUAUUAUUUUUCUUCUAAAAAUCAAAUUAAAUCGCAUUACAUAUACCAUGCUUGUUUUCAGUUUGAAGAGAAAGAAGUGACGAGAGUUUAAAGGGAAAAGUGAAAAAAAAUGUGGGACUUAUUUAAAAAAAUGAAAUGAAUCAUCUGGUUAUCUAUCAUUUUAUUUUGAACUGUGUAAAUAUAAUAUUAUUAGGAAUAAAUACAUAUUUACAACAAACACACAUUUUUCUAUUUCUUCUAUUUAUUUCUACUUGUCUCAAUCCAAAUAACUUAAAAAUCUUCUCAUUAAAUACUCAUUCUCUAUUCUAUUCUCUUCUCCUCUUUUAAAUCUUUUUAAAAUUUUCUCUCGUUUUUUCCAUAAGCUUUGGCAUGCACGAGCAUUGCAAUAGGACCUUCUUUGACAUCUCACAAGAAUGUUGGCACCUCAAAUCAUUUAUCAUCCAAACAAAACAUUAACGCACUAUAAUUCAUUUGUAUUAAAUAUAAUUUUAAUCCUUAAAAAAUAAGACCAUUUUGAUUUUGUUCUUUUAAAAAAAUUAUUUUAAUUUUAGUCCAUGUAAAAUUUAAUUUUUUUUUCAAUCCUUAUUGUGAAAUAGCAACAUUAACUGAUAUGAUAACUACAAUAUUUCCCAUAAUUAUGAAAUCUUAAAGAAUAGGUACAUCUAAUAUGCUUAAAACUGAGUAAGUAUAUCAGACUGGUCGAUAAGAUAUUUUUUUUUUUAUGUAAUUUGAUGAGAUAUAUAAAAACAUAGUUUAUUAAAAAGUAUAUGCAUAAUCGUUUUGUCAUGCUUUUUAAUUACGUGACUAGUCAAUAAAAUCUAAAUAUCACUGUUAUGUCAUCCUGCAUCAUUUGAGAGAGACUAAAACUAAACAUAUUAAAUUUUACAUGAACUAAAUCAAAAUAAUAUUAUUUUUCAGAAUAUAAAAAUCAUAUUUAUGCCUAAUAAGAAAUUACAUAAUCUCUUGCAUCAUUUUUUCUCUCUCUUCAUAUAUAGGUGCAUAAAAUUAUUUUGAUGAGGAAGGUUUCUUCAAUAUUUUCAAAAUCCUCCUUCAAUUUAGUGAUUGCGGUAGAUAUUCAAUUAGAAAAAAUAUCUCUUAGUAAAAUCAAUAUCAUUGAUUAUUUUUUUAGAAUUCCUUUAUUGCAUGUUAUGAUAAUUUAUAGAAUAAAUCAUAGCAUUACUCGUUGAACUUUUAUCAAACUAUACAUAAUUUUAUCCUUUUUUAUUUUCCUAGACUUCUUUUUUUUAAGUUUGAAAAUAUUAUAUUAACACCUCUUUAAAUGUUUGAAAACAUUACACUACAAUAACCUUCCUUUAAUUUUCAAAAUAUUACAUUGACACUUUCUUAUAUGUUUAAAAAUACUAUUGUGAUACUCCAUCAAAUCUUACACUAAUAUUCCUUAUAGAAAAUGUUAAAAGUAAUGAUAAUAUAAAAAGAUGUAUAAUUAUAUUAAAUGUUUACGGAUGUUGUUGUAAUUUACUCUAAUGUAUUCAUCUUUUGUUCCAAAAUAAUUAUUGUGUGAAAAAAAUAUUUAUUUUAAAAUAAGUAUCAUUUUAAACUUUUAAAGUAACUUUUAUUAUUUUUUUAUUCAUAUUCCUUAUAAUAUUAAUGAUAUGGGUAACAAAAAUUAAAAGUGAAUUAAUGGUGAUAAAGUUAAAUUUAAAAAAAUGUUAUUUUUUUAUCUAUUUAUUAAUUUUUUUUAUUUGUGUAAAAUAAUAUAAUUAUAAAUAAUGAAAUAAGAAAGUAUUUUUUUUUUUGUUGACAACAACCAUAAUCACUCCUUUUCAAGGGUGUGUAUUUUAUGGGAUCGAAUAAAACCACGGUGUGUGUUACUAUCUAAGUUUUAUCUAUGGAGUAAAAAGUAAAUAUUUGACUAUUCAUUAGGAGAAUAUAUAUAAAAAAAAUUCUAUACGGUUUACGUAAUCUCUUACAUCAUUUAUUUUUCCACAUUCUAUAAAUAUAUAAUACAUCUUAUCUAACUGAUGACGUAUCCGCUGAAUACUAGUCCUGAUUCCCGGCUCAAUAAAAGGAGAAUACCUUAGGAAUCCAUAAGAAACAUUAAUUCACCACUAUAGUUGUUCUGUUAAAAGUGCUACAAACAACAAUGGCUGCUAAUCAGGAAGAUGUGAAGCUUUUGGGAGUUGCAGAAAGCCCAUUUGUGUGCAGGGUUCAGAUUGCCCUCAAGUUGAAGGGAGUUCAAUACAAAUUUUUGGAACAAAAUUUGAGGAACAAGAGUGAACUGCUUCUCAAAUCCAACCCAGUUCACAAGAAGGUUCCAGUGUUUAUUCACAAUGAGAAGCCCAUAGCAGAAUCCCUUGUGAUUGUUGAGUACAUUGAUGAGACGUGGAAGAACAACCCCAUCUUGCCUUCUGAUCCUUACCAAAGAGCCUUGGCUCGUUUCUGGUCCAAAUUCAUUGAUGACAAGGUAACUCUACUUUUCUUCUUUUCUUGCUUUGUUACUGAUUUAUCCCCAAAACACCACCUUUCAUUACAUCGAUCUAAAUUAUUUUGCCCUCAUGAUUAUUUAUCAAAAUAUUACUAGUAAAUAAUGUGAUUUGUCAAAUUAGGUUGUGGGUGCUGCAUGGAAAUAUAUUUAUACUGUUGAUGAGAAAGAGCGUGAGAAGAAUGUUGAAGAGUCAUAUGAGGCUCUGCAGUUUCUUGAGAAUGAGCUGAAGGACAAGAAGUUUUUUGGAGGAGAGGAAAUUGGGUUGGUAGAUAUUGCUGCUGUCUUCAUAGCAUUUUGGAUCCCUAUAAUUCAAGAAGUAUUGGGUUUGAAGUUAUUCACAAGUGAGAAAUUUCCUAAGCUCUACAAAUGGAGCCAAGAGUUCAUCAACCACCCUGUUGUCAAACAAGUCCUUCCUCCUAGAGAUCAACUUUUUGCCUUCUACAAAGCCUGCCAUGAAAGUCUUUCUGCUUCAAAAUAGACUUAUUUAAGGAUAGUUGUGUGAACUACUGGUCUCUCAUUUGUGAGUUAUUGCAGUUUGAAUUUCAUGUCAAUUUGGUUUUAUAUGUAAUUUAGUAACCUGGGAUAUCUCCCAUGGAGAAAAUAAUCCUUGGAUCUUGUUUCCAUUUUGGCCAUUUCAGUUAAUAAAGAAAUUCAUUUUUUCCAAAUAAAUUUUAUAGUGAAAAGCCUUUGUCUUCCUUUAUAAAAUCCUUCAAUGUGCAUAAUCUUAAUAUUGGUAGACUUGGAGCGACUAGCCAGCUACUACCUUGAAAGUUUUAUUGCCUCAAUUCGAAGGACAACGUAUAUAAUAUCAUAUGUAAAUUCCAGCCUUAAAACUAUUUGAGUCUCUCGACUUAAUGCUGUUCGAAUUUCAUGAUUGUCACUUACAAUUAUAUGUAAUGUGUGAUCUUUGCUAAUUAAAUUCUCUUUUGCUUGCCAGCAACAUGAAAAGCUGUAUGAAACAGAGAAUUUGUAGUUUCUUUAAACAUGAAAAGAGCCUAGUCAAAUAUGUUUAUUAUUAUUUUUAUUUAUGGUGUGACUCUCUUUAAUUGGCUCCCUAUUCUCCGACAAGCCACCAGGUUGAGAUCGUUGACCACUGAAAAAUUUCCAAAACUCCACAAAAAUGGAGUCAUGGAUUCACCAACCAAACCAUCCAUCCCUAGAACAUUAUAAAUCAAUUCGAUCUAAAAGAAGAGUAUUAGUAAGUAAUAAUACCUUCUCUAAUACAUUUUUAAGGCACUUUUUUAUUAUUAAGUAAUUUGUAGUAAAUUUUAAAUUAAAUAAUCGAUUGUUAUUAAAAAUAUAUAACAUCAUUAAAGAUUUUUAGAAUUAUUUGUUUUCAUGUAGAAAUAAUUAGGUGGCACCAUCUACAUCAAAAUGGAAAUGAUACGUGACAGCACUUUCCCAUUUUUUUCUUAUCGUCCCCACUAUUGACUAUGUCCAUGAUAUGUAUAUGUAAUGGAUAUAAUAUAAUAUAGGUAUAUCUUUUCUAAUUGAUCACGUAUCCUCUGAAUACUAGUCCUGAUUCCUGGCUCUAGAAAAUAAAACCUUAGGACCCAUCACAGACAAAGAAGCAAUUAAUUCACCAGCUACAUAGUUUUUCUGUUUGAAGUGCUACAAACAAUGGCAGCUAAUCAGGAAGAUGUGACGCUUUUGGGAGUUGUUGGAAGCCCGUUUGUGUGCAGGGUCCAGAUUGCCCUCAAAUUGAAGGGAAUUGAAUGCAAAUUUUUGGAAGAAAAUUUGGCAAACAAGAGUGAUCUACUUCUCAAAUCCAACCCCGUUUACAAGAAGGUUCCAGUGUUUAUUCACAAUGAGAAGCCCAUAGCAGAGUCUCUUGUGAUUGUUGAGUACAUUGAUGAGACAUGGAAGAACAACCCCAUCUUGCCUUCUGAUCCUUACCAAAGAUCCUUUGCUCGGUUUUGGUCCAAGUUCAUAGAUGACAAGGUAACUCAAAUUUCAAAAUAAAAUAAAAUUCAUGCUUUGGGCUUAUUUAUCCCCAAAUAAUCACCUUUCGUGACAUCUAACUGUGAAAUGUUAGAAUAUGUUAGAGAACUCAAUACUACCUCAAAUUCAUCUAACAGCUUACCAUGAGCUCUUUUUAAUUUGUACUAUAUUUGUCCUAAUUUGUACUAUCAUAUAAGUGAAUCCAUAACCUGUUUGUCCUCAUUACUUUAUAAAAUACUAAUUACUAAAAAUUAAUCUUAUUUGUGAAAUCAGAUUGUGGGUGCUUCAUGGAAAUCUGUUUUCACGGUUGAUGAGAAAGAGCGUGAGAAGAAUGUUGAAGAAUCGUUGGAGGCUCUGCAGUUUCUUGAGAAUGAACUACAAGACAAAAGGUUCUUUGGAGGAGAUGAAUUUGGAUUUGUAGAUAUUGCUGGUGUCUUCAUUGCAUUUUCAAUCCCAAUUUUCCAAGAAGUAGCAGGGUUGCAAUUAUUCACCAGUGAGAAAUUUCCUAAGCUCUUCAAAUGGAGCCAAGAGUUGAUCAACCACCCUGUUGUCAAAGAUGUCCUUCCUCCUAGAGAACCACUUUUUGCCUUCUUCAAAUCCCUCUAUGAAAGCCUUUCUGCUUCAAAAUAGAUUGUUUAAGAAUGAUUGUGUGAACUACUUGUCGCUCAUUGAAUUAUUGUUGUUUGAAUUUCAUGUCAAUUUGAUACUAUAUGUAAUUUAGUAACCUGGGAUAUUAGGAUAUCCCCAAGGAACAAAGAAUCCUAGGAUUUUGUUUCCAUUUUGGCCAUUUCAGUUAAUAAUUAAAGAAACUCUAUUUUUUCUUGAUACAAAUUUUAUAGCGAAAGCUUUUGUCUUCCUUUGUUAAUUAAGACGAAAGCUGGCAUGUAUAAGGCUACUAGCAUAUCAAGCACCGUGUGAAAGAAUUUACGACAGUAAGAUAUAGUUAUUACAAUAACAGAAUUAAGACAUUUCAUUCAUGAUAAUUUGAUAAAUACAAGAAGGGAUAUAAUGAAAAUCUUGUCUUCAUUUUCGUGAUUUUAGUUAAUUUUAUUUUUCUAUUCUCUCUUAUAUUUUGUGCUUCUUAUGUAAAACUCUCUUUUUUACCCAAGUAAAAUAAUUUUAUUGGGAAAGAUAUCAAACUUAGCACAAGUGAUGACAAAAACUUGCCAGCUGUAAGGACAAUUACAAGUUGGGUUGGGCAGAGUGAGCUAAAAUAGUUUGAGCUUAAAUUUUUAUAAUAUAGACCGAUCAAUCAUUGGGCUAAUGGGACCAACCCCUUUUAAGACCCCUACCUUCAGGCAAUUGCUUCCUACACCGUUAGAUUUUUUCUACACCCAACAAUAUAAUUGAAUUGUUGAUUUUGCUCUUACACCCCUACACGCAUCCCCUUCCUCCUCUGCCGCUUCUGUUUUUACUCUCCCUUCUCCCUUCUUGCGCAGUGAUCUCCCCUCUUUCACUCCUCUGUUUAACUUCACUUGUUGGUGUUUCCUUCUACCGCUUUUACGUCACCGUCACCGUCAUUAUUAUUGUAAGUAGUUUUCUUCCAAUUUUUCUACAUUAAAGAAUCGGUAUCAUUCAUACGGAUGGUCAUUCAUACAGAUGGUCAAUCAGUAUGAACUAUUUUAAAAAAAUAAUUAAAAAUAGAUAUUUUAAUGUUUUUUUAAUAAAUUUAAUUAUAACUUUUUAUAAUUAUUACAUUAAAUUGAUUCUUUAUUUUUGACUUUAUUACAAUUAAUUUUGAUUUAAUAAUAAUUUUUUAAAAUAUAUAAAUUUUAAAUAAAAAUCAUAUAUUUAAUAAAAAUUUAUAUAUGUAAAAUAUAUAUUAUUAGAUCAAAAUUUAUUAUAUAGAUUUAUAUGUGUAUUAAAUAUACAUUAGAAAUUUUAUUAUUAUAUAUAAUAAAAUUACUUAUUUUAUAACAUAAUUAAUCUAUUAACUUAGUUGAUUAAAAUAUUGUGAUAAUAACAUAAAAAUUACAUUUUCGAAUUUUGGGAUAAUAACCUUACAUAUUAACUAUUCAUAUGAACUUUACACAAGAAUAAUGUUAAAAUUCUAAAAAAUCUACCCGAUAUAAAAGAAAAAGGAUGAGUGGAGGAAGAAAACGUCCUACCUUCAAGGGAAAAAUGUCCUACCUUCAAGGGAAAAAAUCUUGUUCUUGAUGCAUUCCCAAACUAACAGAGGGAUUUACUCCAUUGAGAAAUUUUAUUAAAUGCAUCUUACCCAUCCAUAUGUUUGAUUUUAUUUUUUUUACCGCUCACCACUUUUCAUCAAAUAACAUGAAACCAAUUGAGCUUAUAAUUAUGGAUUGGGGAGAGGUGGCGUGAAACUAAGCAGGGGCCGACGAAUAGAUAAUUACGGAAAGAUGGAGGGAAGAAGACAAGUAAGAAAAGGAAAAAGAGAAAAAGAGAAAAAGAAAAGAAAAGACAGAAAAAUGAGCAGGACCAAAAGAAAAGACAAACAAAGAGAUGAUACUCUCUGCAUAAAUGACGUUUAAUGGUUCUUUAUAGAAAUAACGAAAAUCUUUAGAACUGAUUUUAUGGUAUUAAUUAUUUAUUAGAGUAAAAUUAUAAUAAAAAACUAUAUUUUAUCAGAAACCUAAAGCGUCGUUUAAUGAAUUCUUUUAGGAAAAAUAUGUUUUAUUUUUCAUACUUUUAUAAAAUCUUAUUUUUAGUUGUUGAAAUUUCAUACCAUCUAAUUUAACCCAUGUAUUUUAUAAAAAAAAUUGUUUUUAAAUUCUUUUUACAAAAUUCUUACAAACAACGUUGUUAACGUCUAUUUAACGUGACAAAUAAGCAAAGUAUAUUUUUUUUUAUUUUUUAAAUUAAUUAAAAUGAUAUGUAAUUUUUUUUUUGAAAAAUAAUUAUUAAUAUGUCUCUACGAUAUACAUCAAACAGUAACUUUUAAUGGUUCUAUUUUGUUUUUAUUUCCAUUCUAUGAAUUGGCAUGAUAGGUAAAUAGUGUAAUUUAUGUAUCAUGUAAGAAAUGACGUUAACAAUAGAGGUCCUCAUAAUUGGAUAUUUAUGCAACUAUAACCAUACCUAAUAAAUAAUUAGAUUAUAAGUAGGUAUUAUAAUUAUAACUAGUUUUUUAAAUAUGGGUAUAAUUUAAUAUAACUAGUUAUUAUUUUUAAAAUAGAGGUAUAUAACUAGUUAUGAAUAAACUAGUUAUAUAUGGAUAAAAAUAAGUUGUUUGAAAUAUUCAUUUCUAUAAAACUAAUUAUAUUUUUAUAAUUAUAAUUAUUUUUUAAAUAAAAAUAAAUUAUUUAAAAUACCUACUUUUAUAUAACUAAUUAUAUAAAAAUAUUUAUAGUUAUAGGUAUUUUCUAAAACUAGUUUUUUUAGUAGUCUUAGUCAACAUAAUUUAUGACUAGAGACUAAAAAUAAGAUUUUUGUAAAGAGAGACUAAAUUAAAUCAUAUGAAACUUUAAUAACUAAAAACAAGAUUUUAUGAGAAAUAAUAACUAAAGAUAUAUAUUUUUUCUAAUUCUUUUUAUAUUAAAAUAUCAUUUAUUUUAAAAUAAAAAAUUAAUGCCACGUUUAUUAUCUUGGAAUUACUAUUUCGUAUAAAAAAAAACAGCUUAGACGAAUUCAUAUAAAGACCACUGUUUUUAUUUGACCGAAUAAAAGUUAAAUAAAAAAUUGUGACACAAUAAGUUGUUUGACAGGAAUACGCAUGCAUGUACCUGGUAACAUGGUAUUAUGGAUUUCGUGUUACACGAAUUGGUAAUUGGUAAAGUAAAGCAUUUUCCGUUUUUUAUACGAUAAAAUUUGAGCAAGUUUCAUGUAAAACUUGUGGUUUUUCUUAUUUUGAGUUUUUCAUUUUCAUUUGAAUGUAAUUUAUACGUUUUAGAGUACUUGUCUAAUUAUUUUGUUUAAAAAUAACUGUUUUUUUUAUAAAUAAAGAUCAUGUCUAAAAAGGUUUAUGAUAAUUAUAUAUUUUUAAAAUUAAAACAAUUCAACUCUAAUUUAUUUUUGAAAAAAAAAAGGCAAUGCUUAAAGAUUAAGGAUCGAUUAAAAAAACGUUUUCAAAGCAUAUUAACGUCAACUGGUUUUGUCUUAUUCAUUUAUGUUUUUUUAGGUUUGCUUCAUCUGAGAAUUCGUUUUCUGUCCUGUUUUUCUUUGCUCUUUAUUAAUAAUCACAAAAUAACCACAUCAAUUUUACUUUAUUUUAUAAUUCUAAGGAAUUGUGAAGAAAAUAAUGAAUUUACGUAUACAUAUUUAAAAAGAACAAAAUAAAAAUAUUAUAUAUAGUUAUUAAUAAAAACUAAAUAAAACUCAACAUAAAAAAGAGUUUACCCGUUAUUUUCUUUUUAUUUUUAAAAUGCCGUAUAUUCAAGAUUAGUGACAUGAAUUAUUUAUAAUUUUUUUUUUUACUUUUAUAGUAUUCAAAUAUUAUUUAAAUUAAUCUUACUUAUUUUAUGUAAUAUUGUAAAAAAAAUAUUUAUAUUUUCUAGAUCUAGACACAAGGGCUUUCUAAUUAGUUUUGUCAUCUUGUACCACUCUAUAUAAUAAUUUAAUUGCUGAAGAGUGAAGACCACAUAGGAUUCAUCAUUUUCCAAACGAGCAUCUUCGUAGUUUCUUAAGUCAAGAGAAGAAGUGAAGUGCUGCUUCAAUGGCUUCAAGUCAGGAAGAGGUGAUCCUUUUGGGGGUUAUUGGAAGCCCAUUUCUGCACAGGGUGCAGAUUGCUCUCAAAUUGAAGGGAGUUGAAUACAAAUAUUUGGAAGAUGAUUUGAACAACAAGAGUGAUUUGCUCCUCAAGUAUAACCCAGUUUAUAAAAUGAUUCCAGUGUUUGUUCACAAUGAAAAGCCCAUAUCCGAGUCCCUUGUGAUUGUUGAGUACAUCGAUGACACAUGGAAAAACAACCCCAUCUUGCCUGAUCCUUACCAUAGAGCCUUGGCUCGUUUCUGGGCCAAGUUCAUUGAUGACAAGGUAACUCUCAAUUAGAUCCCUUCCUUUUAUUCUUUCCUUUUCUUAAAAUAAAUCGCUUAUAUAUAUAUAUAUAUAUAUAUAUAUAAUAUGGAUCAAACUUCUUUAAGAACUGUCUUGAAUUAUUGUUAUGAUUUGUAAUUAUAGGAUUAUGGUAGAAUUUUCAACUUGGGGAAGAAAUAUUUGUGUUAUGUAUUCUAAAUUUCUAACCGUAAAUAAUAUAGAAAUUAGAAGCUUCUACUACUCACUGACAAGGGGGAGAGGUGCAGGGUUGUUACGGUGAGGCAUUGCCGCACACGAUUGGAUCUACUACUCACUCCGUUAUGCUAUGCUUUCACUUUAGAACUCAUAUCCCUCACACGCGAAAUGCUUUUGAGGAACCGAAACGACAAUGACAGAGAAGAUGAACCAGCUCGAUUUGAACGCGCGCGUAGAUAAUUAGGGUAACUUAAACAAAGACGGUCCUUCACCCAAACCCGUCUUUGUUCAAGUUUUUCAUAUUUACAAAAAUGCCAUGAACUAGCAUUCUAAGACGGUUCUCUACGACCGUCUUAGAAUGCACGACGUAAAAACAAAAAAUAUUACUUCUAAUUAUAAAAAUGUCACCGUCUUACAUUUUAAGACGGUUAUUAAUAACCGUCUUAGAAUACGCAUCGUAAAAUCAACCUCUUUUAGUAGUGAAGGCAUUAUCAAAAAUUAAAUUUUAAGGAGCAAAAAGGUAUUUAAAUCCAAAUUUUAUUUACUUUUACAUAAGUCAAUCAUAUUUCUGAUUGAUGUAAUGUAACUUGGUAGGAAGACUGCAUCCUAGCUUUUAGAUUUCUCCAAGGAGAUUAGCAUCUAUGAAUGAUGAUUGGAGACAUUGGUUGCUAUUAUAUAUGUAUCCAAGAAAAAUCAUAGUUGUUUUUAUAUAUUCCAAUUAUUUACUAACAUACAAGUAAUGUAACUUGGGAAAUCAGUGCGUGGCUCCAGCAGCGAAAUCUGUUUUUAUUGUUGAUGAGAAAGAGAAAGAGAAGGCAAAAGAAGAAUUAUUUGAGGCUCUGAAUUAUCUUGAGAAUGAGUUGAAGGGAAAGUUUUUUGGUGGAGAUGAGUUUGGCUUUGUGGAUAUUGCUGCUGUGAUCAUACCUAUAAUUCAAGAGAUAGCAGGGUUGCAAUUGUUCCCAAGUGAGAAAUUCCCAAAGCUCUCCAAAUGGAGCCAAGACUUUUACAACCAUCCACUUGUUAACCAAGUUAUGCCUCCUAAGGACCAACUUUUUGCCUAUUUCAAGGCUCGGGCUCAAAGCCUCGCUGCUAAAACAAAGAAUUAACAAAGACUCAGAAUUCCCAAGGAGAUUUUAAUAUUGUAGGAAGUGAAAGCUACUUACUAUCUAUGUUUAGUUUUCGUUUUGUUCAACAAUCUAUGUUUAGUUUUCGUUUUGUUCAACAAUCUAUGUUUAGUUAUUGCGGUUAUAUUUUCAUUUCAAAAUGAAUUAAGCGAUAUAGGAUUUCGCCAUGUAAAAAAAAUAAAAAUCCAAGGUUGUUGACAUUUUCGCUAUUUCAAAUGAGUUGUGUUAAUUAUUGGUUUAAACUAUUUAGUAAAGGGACCAAUGAGAUUUAGCUUAAAUCAAAUGAGUAUCCAAUGAUUUUUUAUUUUAUUUUUUUACUUUUUAAAUCAAUGCCUUCUCCUUUGGGUCUUGGUCUUGUUGACAUUUUCGCUACUGCAAUCAAUAAAAGGAAAAAAAAUAUAUCCUCCCUUCCCCACACCAUAUAAAUCUUUUGGUGGAUAUGCUUUUUAGGGAUACGGGUGUCGGAAGAGAUAAGGAUUUGAUGCAAAGAUACAACGAUUCUUGAAAGAUAUGAUAUGCCACAUGUGAAAAUAUCAACAUGCUGUAAGUUGAUAGAUAGUCAAUUAAAAUUUGUUUAGAUAGCACUUUAGAAGAAAAAAAACAAAAUUUUAAAUUUAUCAGAUCAACAACAACAGCAAAAAUUAAGAUAAAAAACAAAAUUUAAUCAUUUAUCAAAAUCAAAACCAAAAGUAUAUUUAAAUUUUUUUAUUUAUUUUCUAGAAAAAAUUCUUGCGAUGAAUUUUUUAUUUCUAGAUUUUGAUUUUGGGCUCGAUUUUUAUAAUCACUCAUUUCACCACUUGAAUAUAUGAUUAUUUUUUUUUAUUGUUUUAGUCGAUUUUGAUUUUGGAUUCUUCUAUAAGAAUGAUUCCCUACGCAGUACACCACACUAAAUGAUAAAAAUUCUCCAACAAUAAAACUUGUUAAGAAAUAUAUAGUUCUUCCACAUAAGAACUAAGUUAGUUAAGAACAUGCAUUGAAGAUGUGGUAAAAGCAUAUUCAAUAAAUCAAUGGUGUUUAUUUAAGCAAUUCAUUUGGAAUUUUUAGUUGAGUCCAAAACGGGUUCCACUAUAUGUAUCAUUAUAUUUAAGCAACUAACCAGCAUUUAUUAUAUUUCAAUGCUACAACCCUUUAAAAACUUAUAAUAUUAUUCUUUUUAUUUGCAUUUGAUUUUUUUUCCAUUAAAAUAUUAAUUUCAAACCACUUUUUUCAUAAACAACUACUUUUUAUAUAAGUAACCAUGCUUAAAUUUAAGCAAUCCAUUCUACCAAUCACAUCAACUCCAAUAAUGAAAAUAAAUAAAGAAUGAUUUCAAAAUUUACACAAUCCAGUAAAAAAACUCCAUUAAAAUUACUCUAAAUUUAAGAAAGAUUUAUUAUGUUUUUGAUAGUUAAACUUUUCCGGACUUCUUUUAGUCUAAAUCUAAAUUUUGAGCUAAGAAAAUCCCUAAACAUUUCUUUCUUACAAUUUUUAGUUUGUAUUAUCAAAUAAUAACAUUAAUUGAUAUUAUAAUAAUAUGGUUGAUAACUCAAUGACUUAUUAUGUCAUUAAGGAGUUGAUGACAUUAGAUUAUCUGAUAAAUAAUUUAAAGUACAUUUUACUAAAAAAAAAUAUGUGACUAUUUUAUCACAUUUUUUGGUAAUGUGAUAAGUUAUUAGAUCAUUAAUGUUGUUAGGUCAUUGAUUAAUAUUUUAUUUAAAAAUUACUAAAGUGAUAAUAGAGAACAAAUUUAGAAACUUUAAGUGAUCAAAAUUUAAAUUAAGAAUAAGCCCACCCCAAAAAAAUUACAAACUAAAAAAUAGCAAGCCCAUGUACAAAUCUCAUAAAUAAACUAUUCUAGUAAAAGAUAUUUCAUUAUUUUUUUUGUCUCCAUCUUUCAAUUAAUUAAAAAAAAAGAUUAUAACUAAUCUAGAGUUGGACAGAGAUAAGUAAAAUAUGAUUUAGAAUUCUUUUUAUUAAAUAUCAAACUCAUAUAUGAUCCGACAAUUUAAUCUUAAGUAUAACAUAUUAAAUUUUUGGAGUGAGUCACUUACUUGCUUAGAUACUUCAUCGUAUAAUAUAAAAUGCUAAACACGUGCUCCCACGUAGAGGUGACGUAACUCUUGUAUCAUUUCUAAGUCAUUGACUAUAUGACAAUGGAGUUUUCUUCACUUCAUGCAAAAACAACUUUUUUAUUUGAUUUAAUUACAUUUUUUCAUCUUAUUGUUUAAUUAGUUUUUGACAAAUUUUAUUUUUAAUAAAUUAAUUGAACACAUUUUAUCUCUUAUUUUUUUUAAAAAAAAGAUUGCAAAUUUUUUCUUUUUUUUAUUUUACUCAUAAUAUAAUUAUAAAUUUACCCCUAAAAAAGUUGGGCAUUUGAGGAGAGUUCUAUGUUGGAUUUGAUGUGGAAGAUAUAUUUUUUGUUUAAAUUGAUUCUGUUGGUUUUUAAACUGCCGAAAUUAUAAUUUAACUUUUUAAAAUGAAUAUUGGUGUUUUCAAAAUGGUCACAAAUCAUAUUUUGAAAUUUUUAACCAACAUGUUGUCACAAUUUAAUUAACGACAUAUAUAUAAAAUAAAAAUUUUCAUGUAUUGCGGAACUAAUACAAAAGAAAAAAAAAAUUAGAAACUCAAAAUAAAAUCCGAUUAUUUAUGACGGAGUUAAAACAUAUUUAACCAAUAUUUUAUAAAGUGAUUUGAAACCUAUAUUGCAAAGUCUAGAAAAAAAGUUUUUAAAAAUCGACUAUAUUUCACAUAAAAUAAAAAUAUCUAAACCUUAUGUCAUCUAUCAUGCACCUUUGAUAACCUUUGUAAUUGAUCUCGUGUCCAUGAAUACUAGUCCUGGCUCCAUAAAAGGAGAACACCGUAGGAAUCCAUCAUAGACAGAGAAACAAGACCAGAGAUAGUUGUUUGAGUGAAGGUUUGAAGUGCUACGUACAAACAAUGGCCAACAAUCAGGAAGAGGUGAUACUUUUAGGAGCUGUGGGAAGCCCAUAUGUGUGCAGGGUGAAAAUUGCCCUCAAGUUGAAGGAAGUUCAAUACAAAUUUUUGGAAGAAAAUUUGGCAAAUAAGAGUGAACUGCUUCUCAAAUCCAACCCAGUUCACAAGAAGGUUCCAGUGUUUAUUCACAAUGAGAAGCCCAUAGCAGAAUCCCUUGUGAUUGUUGAGUACAUUGAUGAGACAUGGAAGAACAACCCCAUCUUGCCUUCUGAUCCUUACCAAAGAUCCUUGGCUUGUUUCUGAUCCAAAUUCAUAGAUGACAAGGUAACUCUACUUUUCUUCUUUUCUUGCUUUGUGCUUAUUAUAUUUGUCCCUAAAACAUCACCUUUCAUGACAUCUAAAUGUUAAAUCUUUGAAUAAGUCAGAGAAGUUGAAGAAACUUCAUUCACUAAGUGUACCAAAUUUGUCUAAAAUCAUAUUAAUGAUAGAUCAAAUUCAUUUAAGAACUACCUCCAAUUAUUAUGAUUUGUUUGGAAUCUUGGGAGAAUUUUGUUUUUUUGGGGUGUCACAUUUGUUUCUAUAUAUAACUAAAUCUAAAUUCUGUUAUCCUAAUUACUUUAUUAACUAAUUACUAAUAAAUACUCUGAUUUAUGAAAUCAGGUGGCGGAUGCUGCAUGGAAAGCUGUUUUCACUGCUGAUGAGAAAGAGCGUGAGAAGAAUGUUGAUCAAUCAUUUGAGGCUCUUCAGUUUCUUGAGAAUGAGCUAAAGGACAAGAAGUUCUUUAGAGAAGAGGAGUUUGGCUUGGUAGAUAUUUCUGGUAUCUUCGUAGCAUUUUGGAUCCCUAUAGUUCAAGAAGUACUGGGUUUGAAGUUAUUAAACAGUGAGAAAUUUCCUAAGCUCAACAAAUGGUGCGAAGAAUUCACCAACCACCCUGUUGUCAAAGAAGUUCUUCCUCCUAGAGACACACUUUUUGCCUUCUUCAAAACUAUCUUUGAAAGACUCAGAAUUUCUAAAAUAGGCUCGUGAAGUAACUAGUGAGAGACUCAGAAUUUCUAAGGAAAAUUGUGUUGACUACUUGUUUGUUAUUGUUGUUAUGAUUUCGUUUCAAAAUGUUGUUUGUAAGUGUUAGGUAAUUCUAUUCCACUGAUAAGGAACAAAUUGUAAAGAUAAUUUUUCUGCCCAUUCUUAUUGAAACUUUAGAUAUUUAAAGAGUAACAUAAUACUGCAAAGCACAAAACUACAAAGCUGAUAAUGGGCAUAACAGAAAUGCCACCUAAGGAAUAACAGAAUUCCAAUAACAGCCUAAUGAUUGUCUAUCAGAGGGAGAGGGAAUUCUUUAGCGGUAUCAGACAUAAUCCUCCAAAUGAGUGGGCCUUCUGGUUAUCCAUUUGGGUUUUUAAUCUCCCUAGUUUGAAUUGCUAACAAAACCCUCCCUAGGAAACUCGACAUCAUCCUCGAGGUCGUACGCAUUGUGCAAGGUGGUCCAUUCUUCCCAAGAGGCAUCCUCUGGAGUGAGGCCGUUCCACUGCACCAAAACCAUACAUGAAGGUGUUGUUGUUAAAUGAUCCCAUUUCCAAUCUAAGAAUGACAAAGGUUCAACCACCGGAUGGUUCUCUGUUUGGAUGGGUGGGAGAGUAGCGGUUUGAGUGGGUGAAGGUCCUUUGUGCGCUUUCAAGAGUGAAAUAUGGAAUACAUGAUGGAUUUUAGAAUCCAUCGGGAGUUCAAAGUGGUAUGCUACAGGGCCUACUUUAUCUGUUAUUGGGAAGGGUCCGUAGAACCUCUUUGAAAUUUUGGUGUAAUAGGGACACACAUAGGUUUGGCGAUAAGGCAGUGGGCAGACGUAUACCAAGUCUCCAACAUCAAAUUAUAUAUGACAAUGAUGUUUGUCAGAAUAGUGUUUCAUGGCCUCUUGUGCUUUCCGUAAGCGUCUCUGUAACUGAAUAUGAGUAGCUUGGCGUGACAUUACCAUAGAAGUCAUGACUUCCAUCGGAGAAGAGUCGAGCAAUGAUGAUGGAGGGGACGGGGGAGGUUUGUUGUAUGUAUCUUCGAAUGGUGAUAGCCCUGUACUAGAAUGAGUGGAAGUCUUGUAACACCAUUCUGUCAAUGUCAGGAAGUUGUACAAUAGGGAUGGACGAUCAUGCACGAAUGAACGUAGAUACUGUUCCAGAAUGCGAUUAAGGACUUCCGUUUAUCCAUCGGUCUCUGGAUGGUACACGGUGCUAAAUCGCAACUCGGUGCCACUGAGUCGAAAAAGUUCUCGCCAAAACAAGCUAAUGAAGAUUGGCUCUCGAUCUGAAAUGAUACUCCUGGGGAAACCAUGCAACUUGCAGAAGAUGUCCAUAAAUAGGGUGGCGACCUUGUAUGCGGAAUGGUGUGGGGGUAAAGCACCAAAAUGGGCCCCUUUAGAGAAACGGUCGACCACCACCAAAAUUGUGGUAAAGCCAUGGGACUGGGGAAGUCCCAUGAUGAAGUCCAUUGAAAUGUCCACCCAAAUUCCAUUUGGUAUAGACAGAGGUUGAAGGAGGCCUGCUACUUCCUUGGUCUCUUACUUUGUUUGUUGGAACGUAGGGCACUGAGACACAAAACGGUGGACUAAAUUGCACAUUCCUUCCCAAUUAAAAUUAUCUUGAAUGCAACACAAUGUUUUCAUGAUUCUGAAAUGUCCCCCCAGGGCUAUAGAAUGGUAUUCAUGCAGUAAUAAAGGAAUGAAGGAGCAAUCAAGAGGAAGCCAAAUUUUGCUAUGAUAAUGAAGGAGGUCCCGUCAAAUGGAAUAUUCCGGGUGGGCAUUUGGAUGAAGCCCAACCUUGUUCCAUAAGUCCAAAAAAACAGGGGACUGCUAAAGUGACCUUUGUAGGUCUACCAAGAAAUCGAAUGCUGAAGUGAGAUGGUGAGAAGUUGGCCUUGGUGUGGCAUACGGGACAAUACAUCCACGUCGACAUUGCCGGAGUCGGACCUAUAUUCAAUUGUGUAAUUGUGGCCCUGUAAUUUGGACAAAUAAGUUUGCUGCUUGGGUGUUUGUAUUACUUGUGUCAUAAGUUCUUUUAAGCUUUGAUGAUCCGUGAGAAUGACAAAUGGGUGUCCCAGUAGGUAAUGUUGCCAUUUGUGCACCAUGAUGGUUAUAAUGUGCAGUUCCCUGACAUAGGUUGAGCUGUGUUGUAAGCGGGGGUAGAAGAGUUUGCUGAAAAAGGAUAUUAGAUGAUGUUGUUGAGCCAGCACUGCACCCAUUGUGAAACCAGAGGCAUCGAUUUCUAGUGUGAAAGGGAUGGAGAAAUCAAGAGGAACCAAAAUAGAGGCAGUGGUCAUGGCGUGUUUCAGUUGGUCAAAAGCAGCUUAUGAGUCUGAGUGCCAAUGGAAUUGGUCCUUGUGUAGAAAUUGGUUAAGUGGUGUUGCGGUCAGUGCGUGGUGCAGGCCAAUCAACCAUGGCGCUAAUUUUAGAUGGUCAAAGGCCACCCCUUCUGCAGACACUACAUGGCCUGGGUAUUGAAGAAAUCAUUUGGCAAACAGGCACUUGGAUUGACGAAGGUGAAAAGAUCCCUGAGACAACAUUGCGAAUACUUCCUCCAAAGGGAGCAUGUGGUAGUGAUGAAUUGUAGAUGAGUAUAUCAUCAAAGAAAACAACAACAAACUUACACAAAAAUGGUUUAAGCAAUUCAUUCAUUAUCUCCUGAAAAGUUGUCAGCGCGUUACACAACCAAAAGGGCAUUAUGCGAUAUUUGUAAUGACCUUGAUGUGUUUGGAACGCCAUUUUAGGGAUGUCUUCGUCCGCCAUGUGUAUUUGAUGGAAACCUUGACUAAGGUCAAGCUUAGAGAACCACGAAGCUGAGUCUCAAUUCAUCUAGUAGCUCUUCGAUAGUGGGCACUGGGAACCUAUCCUUCUUCUUCAUGAGAAGGAUUGGAGAAGAAAAGGGAUUGUGGCUAAGUUGAAUGAAUCCGACUUCAAGCAACAAUUGAAUUUGUUUCUCCAAUUCAACUUUCUGGCUGUGGGGGUAAUGGUAUGAUUUUACAUUAAUGGGUUUGGAAUUUGAUGGAAGGUGAAUGUGAUGGGAGAUAGGGCGGGGUGGAGGGAGCUAGGUGGCCUCGAUGAAAAUUUUUAGCAUAUCGGAAAAGGAGUGUGCUGAGUUCUGGUGGUUCUGUGUGUUGGUCAAGGCUCAGGGAAGGUGAUAUGGGGUGAUCUUGGGUUGGAUCUGGUAUGGGUGUGAGUAUGAAAAGGGCGAAAAAUGCUUGUGUUUUGAAACAUGUGCUUCAAUUGGUGAGCUGAAGCAAAAACUAGGCGAACGGGAAUAUCAACAACUAAUUGGACCGGCUGGCCCAAAUAGGUGAAAGACAUUGAAAGUGUGGUGUAGUCAGUGGUAAUCGGGCCCAAUUGGCGAAGCCAGUGUACCCCGAGAACAAUGUCGGCUCCACUGAUGGGUAGGGCAUAUAAAUCAAUGGUAAAGGAAUGACCCUGGAUGCUUAUCGGCACCUGAGGGUGGUAGUGGUUGUAGACCAUGACCCCGUCGUUACCCACCAUGACAUUGAGGGGCUCUAUCGCAGAGGAGGUUAAGUCCAAAAACUUAGCUACCCUCAUUUGUAUAAAGUUAUGCGUACUGCCCCCUAUCAAUGAGUAUGGUUAGCUGGUGAUCAUUAAUGGUGUCGUAAAGACAAAAAAUUUUGGAGCUGGCAUAUCAGCCAUUGCGUUGAGGCUAAGGUGGGGAGUAUUGGUCUGGUAAAGGCAAAAGGCAUUAGCUUGGAGGGCAUGUGGGUCAUCCGGCACCAAAAGAGGGUAAGGGUAUUCAAUAUCAUCCUCGACUAUGAGGAGAUGGAAAUGGGGCUAACAACGGUGGAUGGAAGUCCAUUUAUCAUCACAAUGAUAACAAAGACCUUUAUCGCGUCACACAACCAUCUCCUCCGGGGAUAAUCUUUUGAAGGGUAUUUUAGGUAGUGGUUUUGUUGGGAGCACAAGUGGGGAAAGAGAACAGUGUUGUUGAGUAGCACAUCGACAGUCAAUAAUUUUUUCCGCCUUGCGAAUCGCAUUGUCAGGUUACCACCAGCGAAGGAUAAGGAGACAAGCUGAAAGGCUUGGACCUCGCAGCACAAUUCCAGGUUGAGACUGGAAAUAAAACAACUAAGGAGGGACGUCGGUGGUAACCGAUAACUGUGAAAUAUGAGCUAAUUUAAUAGUCAAUUUUGGCUAAUAAAUGGGUGUAAUUUCUUUACUUUAUUAUUGUUUUUAAGGAAAUAAUGAAGAAAUUAACAUCUUUGCAAUUUUUUAUUAGCAAAAUUCAAAAGAAGAUUUCAAGUGCUUUAGAAGAAAAAUUGGUGCAAAAACUGGAAGAAAAAACCUUGAUGAAAAAUUGAAGAAUUGUACAGCUCGCUCAACACACACUCUCACAUAGUGGGCAAAGUCAGACUCAAUGCGCAAUCUCGCUCAGCGUGCAACUCGGGCUUAAUGUGCAGUCUCGCUCAACGCACAUGUCAGACUUAGCCUGAGAAGGUCCAUGAGGAAAGCCCAAGGUGCACUUAGCGCGCAAAUGCGUGCUUAGCACGAAGUCAGCGUGAAAAGUAAGCUACCUCAUGCCUAUAAAAGGAGUAGGAGGCAGAAGGAAAACACACACUGAAUCUCAGAGCUAUCCAAAAAUUGGGCCUAUCCUUUAGGGGAAACCUUCUUUCUUAAUCAUUCCCCAUUUUCUUGUUAUUAAACUCCCUUGUAAUGUAACUGUUUUUCUUAUCUAUUAAUGCAAUUUCAAUUUUCUAUUCUCUUUUUUCUACUUUUCAUCUCUAUUGUGUGGUUUCACUACUAAAAAAGUGAUUUUUUAUGACGUCAAUUUUACAUCAGUUGGAAAAAACUGUCUUAGAAAGAACACGGUGGCAUUUCCAUAAAUAAUUAUAAUAAUUCUACGACGGUUAUGCAAAACCCUCCUUAGAAAAUUGUUAUUCUAAGACGGUUUUAUAAAAAUCACCUUAGAAAAUUGUGUGCUAUUUUUAAUAUUUAUUGUGUCCCUCUAGCUACUCUUUGUGCUCCCUCAUUCUCGAAAGAGCAAGCGCCGCUUCCACUCCCUCGUCCCGCAGGUCGAAAAUGUCGUUGUCCGCGUCGACUACUUGAUCUCUGACUACGACUGUUCCUCCUCUUCUACCGCCUCCAACGGAGGCCCUUUCUAGAACCUCCUCCGCCUCGUCUUCGACAGAAUCAUGAAACCCAUUCAAACCCUCAACCAAUUCCUGAGUCCCAAACGCCUUUCUUCCUCUGUCACCGCUACCGCUGCCACAUUCCCUUCCUCCACCUCCUCCCUCGCCGUCGAUUCCGACGAAGACUUUGACGACGGCGUCACCCACCACUCCCCAACCCAAGUCCUCAAGAACUUCAACGAGAUUUUCCUCCUCCGGAUCGAGUUCCCUAGCAGCGACAAUCAAAGCAUCACUGACUCCUUCUACACCAACGGGGACCUCAAACUGCGCAUUGUUUGGACCAUAAGCUCCCUCAACACUGCCUCCGCCAGACAUUACUUGGUUCAACUGAUAAUCUCUGAGCACGCCACCCUCGACAAUUUGUUGCUCACGAACGCCGAUGCCCAAGGGGUGUUUUACAUGAACCGGGAGCAGCUGGAGGAGCUGAGGGUGAAGCCGCUAUCGGCGUCGUCGGCGUAUUCUUACAUGUUAUUCUUAGCGGGCAUAUGCUUGCAGCACUACAUGUUUUUUUUUACGGUAAGGUGUGCAUUUCUUUCUUCUUCUUCUUUAAAUUUCAAAUUAUCCUUGAUGGGAGCAAAAAAUGGCAGCUUUCUUGAUGAAUCUUGGUCUGACAUGGUGGAUUUGAUUGGAAAUAGAAGAUUUGAUUGAGUGUUUUGUCUGAUUUUUGUGGAUCAAUCUUGCUUGGUUUCCUUUUUCAUAGUAAUGUUCUUUCUGCUUUGAGCUCUGAUUCAUUUAUUCACUACUGUUUCAAAGCUAUGUCUAUUUUUGGCAUUGCUUGCCAUUUUAAAGGUUCCAAUUCUAGAUUUUGGGUUCACAAUGCUUUGUCAAUGCACUGUUUACAAAUGAAUUUGGAAUUGUAGUCCUUGAUUGAGUUUUGUGCUGUCUUGUGUUUUAAUUUAUGUGUGGCUAAUGAAUUUGAGCCGUCUUAGUUGUUUUUACUUUGGUACCAAUUAUUUUGAUCUUGUAUGGGUUGUUUGCUUUUGUUUGGAAAUUAAUAUCACCAACAUAUGACCUUAAGUUGAUGAUUUUUUUUUUCUUUUUUGCAUUGUUAGACUAGCAAUAUUUUCCUUAUUUGUUCUCUCGAUGGAAACUGAGCUUUCCUUCCCACAAGCUUUGUUUGAUUCAACUUGCUGCUAAGUUGUUCUGUAUUUCCUUUCCUCUAUUUAUUGCAUCAAUCCAUAAAUAGGGCUGCUUUUUCUCCUUAGGUGCACUUCUUAAAAUGCUUUAUCAUUUUCGUGUAGUCCAUGAAUUUCAACACACUCAUAUCUUACCAAGAGGCUUCCUGUCUUUCUCUCUCUCAUAAAAUGUUUUCCAUAAAAUAAAGUAAUUAGCAUAACAAUGAUUUCUAAUUUUCUAUGAUUUUUUUAUGCUCCAUGAAACACUUAGGGUCUUAAAACAAUCAUUUGAUUCUAUGGUUAUAUAAGAGCGAAUAUUUGUUUGAUAUAGGGUGCUAUUGUGAAUUCCAACAAAUAUUUAUUUAUUUAGAUGAUGCUUUUUCCUCUUUCUUUUCAUUCUUUACAUGUUACAGUGUUGGAUCGGAUGUAGUAUGUGUCGUUAUUGUGGUGUGGGCUUGUCAGAAUCAAAUUUUGACAACAAGCAACAGGGACAUGAGAGUAGUCUAAAGUUGAAUGUUAAAGUUUCCAUUAGGCCUUGCAAAUCUUGUGGAGAGAAGCUAGAGCGAGCAAAUGUGAAAUGGCAUAGUACAAGUCCUUAUGCAACACCACUUAUCAGUUCGACUACAUGUAUAACUAAGUACUGAUAGUUGUGUCUCCACUUGCAGUAAUUACUAUCCCCUUGUCCUCAUUUUAUAAUGUUGAUGAUAUUAGUCUUAUAUGACAAGAUGGUCUUUAUAUAACCAAGUCUUUCUUCAAUAUAUGAUAUUUCUUCAAUAUCUAACUGCCUCCUUGUUUCUAUGUUUUUGCUUUGCAAUAUGUGAAACGGAUUUUCAAACACAUACUAAAUAUAUAGAUAUUUAUUUGAAUUUGUGUUUGAUGAGUCAUGAUUUUGAAUUGUACGUGUAGGUAUGGAGAUAUAUUCAAGACAAACAUAUUAGGGUGUCCUUGUGUGAUGAUAUCAAGCCCUGAGGCAGCUAGAAUUGUGCCUGUGACUCACGCACAUCUCUUCAAGCCAACGUACCCUCCAAGCAAAGAGAAGUUGAUAGGGCCAGAGGCUGUGUUCUUUCAACAAGGUGCCUAUCACUCCAUGCUCAAGAGGUUGGUUCAAGCCUCAUUUUUACCCUCCACAAUUAAGCACUCAGUCUUUGAGGUCGAGCGAAUUGUCAUCAAAAUGGUGCCAACUUGGACCAACAAAACUAUCAACACCUUUGCAAGAGAUGAAAAAGGUAUCACACAUGACAUAACUUAACUACAUCUACACAUAUGUCGAUCAAAACUUUUAGAAUUAACCAUAUCUUAUCAUAUUAAGAGCAUGCUACUUAGUCGGCUUAAUGGUGGAAAUUUGAAUAAUAUGCAUGAGCUUAUAAAUUGUAAUCUUAGUUUGACUUUUGUGUACCAAAAAAUAUUAAGAAUCACGAUAAAUAUUAACUUCAUUUUGGUUGGAUUAUAGUAGAAAGAGGAAUAACAAGAAAACGAAAAUGUGAUAAGUAAUGUGAUAAAAAUUAUUUAUUUCAUUAUAUGGAUUUAGAAUCUCAAGAAAUUUUCUUGGUUUUAUUUAAUUAGUAUGCAUUUGAAGUAGCUGCAAUCUCAGCCUUUGGGGAAAUAUAGGAGCUUGAAAUGGAAGAAAUCAGGGAGCUCUAUCGUUGCUUGGAGAAGGGAUACAACUCUUAUCCAUUACAUGUUCCUGGAACUUCCUAUUGGAAGGCAAUGAAGGUAUGUAAAAUGUAUUUCUUAUUAUCCUGUUUUGUAUUUCUUGCCCUAUUUUUGCAUAGUUUGUGCAUUUUUUUUUUGGAAAAAUGUAAAUUAUAUUAAACCCAAAAUGAUACAACAAUAAACGGGGCAUACCCCAUAGCUAGAGAAAAUCAAAAGUCUCCCUAAUACAAGAAGGCCUAUAUCAAGAUGUUAAAACAAAUGCAACAGGUGCGCUUAUCUAUACAUAAUAAACUUAAUCUUGCUAAUAACCUCUAUUAUAGAAAAUUGGUAAUCUUCAAAAAUCAGCUUGUUCCUAGACAGCCAGAUGCAGUAGACUGUAAUUGUUAUAGUUAGACAACAAAAUUUUCCUUGAACACCUGAUGUGGAUCGGCCCCUAAUUAAAGAGUCAGUAAUACGCUGCAAAGAAGUGAAACGCCUGCGGAAAGGAGCCAAAUCACGAAUGUGAGCCCAAACUUGGAGAGAUUUCCUGCAAGAAAAUAACAAAUGAACAUUUGACUCAGCCUCAUUUGAACAUAAAGGGUUGAGGGAACCCUUGUUCAAAAAAGCAGCUUUGUCAAGAGUAAGCAGCCGGUUCCUUUUAGCAAACCAUAGAAUGAAAGACAUCUUAGGGGGGAUUGCUGGGUUCCAUAUAACAGAACACCAACUAACAGUAGGCUUGGCACCUCUAAUGUAUUCAUAGACUUUGCCAACAAGCAAUUGUUCAUUGGUGCUCCAAGAUUGAAUCCUCUUUUUGGCCUCUUCCGUACUUAGCUCUUUGGAGAUAAUAAAGUCCCUUAUUUGAAUGAUUUUCUUUAUCAAAAUUGAAUCUGAUGAAGAAGUAUUGUAAUUCCACACAUCGCUCCCUUUGAAAUAGUAAUGGUGAAACCCAUAGAACCCAUAGAGAAUCUUUCUUACAAUGAAAGUCCCACAGGAUACGGGAAAGAAGCGCAAUGUUCCAGUCCUUGAGAUUAAAAAGGCCUAAACCCCCUUCUUUUUUCAAAGAACAAACUACUGACCAAGCAACCAAGGGCUUGUUUUUGCCAAUAUCUGCUUUGCCCCACAGAAAAUUACGACACGAAGCGUUGAUCCGGUCCAAAACAGAUUGAGGCAAAGGAAAAAUCCCCAUCCAGAAAUUCAUAAUUCCUUGAAUAACUGCUCUGAUCAACUCUGGCUUACCUGCAUAAGAUAAAGACUUCUUGCUCCAUCCCUGAAUCAGGCCAGUAAUCUUGGAAAGCAAGGGAGCAUAAUGGCAUACAUUUAAUCUAGAUGAUAAAAGGGAACACCCAAGUAUCUAAAAGGGAAGCCACCCAAGCUAAAUCCAGUAAGCUGUUGAAUAUGAGAAAGCUCAUAAGGCCUAAUACUGACUGAAUAUAUGGAAGAUUUAUCAGAGCUGAUGGAAAGCCCUGAAACCCUAUAGAAGUGCUGAAGCUUGACAAACAUAGUUGACACAGAAGGGAUAUCUCCUCUAGAUAGAAGCAUAAUAUCAUCUGCAAAAGCCAAAUGAGAUAGUUGAAUACCUGCACAGUUGGGAUGAAAUUUAAAAUUGGCAUCAUCCUUGAGGCUGCUCAUAUCUCUGGAAAAGUACUAUAAACAAAGCACAAACAGAUAAGGGGAGAGAGGAUCCCCUUGUCUAAAACCCCGCUGCCCUUUGAAGUGGCCAUAAAUGGAUCCAUUGACUGCCACACUAAAGGAAGUGGAAGAAACACAUUCCAUGAUCCAAGUACAGAACUGGGUUGGGAAGCCAAUGGACUUAAGCAUCCAAUCCAAGAAUUCCCAGGAAAUGUAAUCAUAAGCUUUAUGCAAGUCAAUUUUCAGGAGGCAUCUUAGAGAGGAUCUUUUUCGUGCAUAUUUGCACAAAAUCUCUUGAACUAGGAAGAUGUUGUCCACCAUCUUUUUGUUCUUAAUGAAGCCAGUUUAAGUUUCCCCAAUAAUAGUCUCAAGCACUAGGGCUAUGCGGUUGGCCAGAAUUUUAGACACAAUCUUGUAUAACAAAUUACAACAAGAUAUGGGUCUAAAAUGGUUAACCUAGGAGGCCUGAUCGUGCUUAGGAAUAAGCGCAAUAAUAGCAUGAUUAAUCUGCUUUAAAAAAAUUUAAGUUGUAAAGAAUUCAUUAACCGCCUCAAAGAUAUCAUCACCAAUGAUAUUCCAAGCCUUCUUGAAGAAUAAAGCAUUGAAACCAUUUGGCCCUAGAGCUUAAAUAAUUAUUGCAAAUCGUUAGAUAGUACGAAUAAUUUUGAUACGAAUGGAUUACGAGAGAUAUUUCCGUACGAAUCAUUAUGAGACAACGUGGCAAAAUUUUAUUUAGUUAAACAAUAAGUUAAAACUUUUAAAAGAAUAAAAAUAAAAGCAAAGAAGUGGGACAAGACCCAUGGUGUUCAUAUACAGUUUUUGCUAUAAAAAAAUUCCAUACCAUAUAGCCUUUGCAUAAUUAUUUUCAACCAUUUGUGCAUAAUUAAAAGAUCAAUCUUAGUAUUAAAAAAAAGACUAAUCUAUUUUCAACCAUUUAGUAACUUUUUUUAUCAGGGAUAUUAAUUUGUUAGGAAGAAAAAUUAAACUCACCACUUAUCUCUUCUUUCUUCGGCUUCAACUUUCAAAUUAAAUUUGUAAGUCUAACCAUUUUGUGUAACAGUAUUAUAUGAUCUUUAAAUUAUGAUAAAAUUCAACAAUUUUACUACAUAUAUAAUAAUAUAGGAUUGGACUGUGGUGCUAACACACACUACUAAAAGAAGCCCUUUUUACCACACCAAUUCUAUGACGGUUGUUUACAACCGAUUUGGAAAGUGGUAGAAUGACAUUUUUGUAAUUAUUGUCACUAAAAAUGCAUUUUACGACGCACAUUCUAAGACAGUUAUUGAAAACCGCCUUAGAAUGUUAUACGAAUUAAAUUUUACAAUGGGUUUUACUGAAUAACCGUCGUAAUUUAAAAAUAAAAAAAUCAAAAAACCGCAAACCCGCACGUACUAGCUAGCCACCUGCUUGUUUCUCCUUUCGCAUUCAAGCCCUAGCUACCCUGUUCUUCAUUCUUCCGGUCCAUUGAACCCUACCCUCUUCGUUGUUCACCAUUGAACCCUUCAAUCUUUGACAAUCCAGCAACAUACCCUAGCCUCUUCUCCUUCCAUUCAACCCCACGACGUCGAGGAACUUCCCGGCUCGAACUUUCAAGUUCGUGAAGAAAUUAGUUUGAAUGAAGGAGUGGUAGUUCGUGAAGAAAGACAUUGGAGUCACUGCAAAGAAACCAGGUUAGUGAAAAAAUUAGCUUAUUUUACUCAAGAUAAGGUUGUCGUGGUGUUAAAUAAAGGUCGUGGGUUCGAUAUAACCUAGUUUUGCUGAUGAUGUUUGGUAAUGGUGGUUGCAGGGAAGAUAUUUGAUGUAUUGAAUGAGUUAUUGGUGAACAACAGUUGAUACGUAGUUCACUGGGCUGCAAACGGGUCAGUGGGCAUUUGUUUAUUUUCUCUGGUUCAUGCAUGUUCGUAUGGUAUCUUGAUAUAUAGUUGAUACUUAGGUUGGUGUUGUUUAAGGGACUUGAGUUGAAUGGAUUGAAGAUUAAUUAUGUUGAUCUUAACAAUUUUUUAUUUCCUGUCUUUAGGGAAAUUUGUGUUUGCCUGCAUUUAUGUGUUUAUAGUGUAUGUAAUUUUAAUUUAAGGUACUAGAUAUAAUACUGUAGGUUUUGUAUUAUAUGAAUGAAUGCAAGGUAUAUGGGUUGGGUUUUGGUAGCAAAAGAGCCAUCUUUCUUUGAUUUUGUGGAACUGAAGUCUGCAUUUUGUUCAUGGUCCUGACCUUAAUCAUAUUUUAAUUUCCUGAGUUCACGUCAGUGUCUGUAUUUGCCUCUUCCAUAACUUCAUUUGGAGAGCAAGUCUCUUCAUUUUGAUUCCCUUCAUUUCUAUUCUAAGGUAAAUGAACUUGCCCAUCUGGUUCUCCAUCUCCAAAAUCAUGCAAAUGAAGCACUUAUGCAAACUUAGAAAUCUCGUAAGUUGUGUGCGCCUUGCAAAGACAAAGAACUUGUUGGGUUUUUUUAGAAGAAAAGAUUUUUCAAAAGAAGUAGUGAUAUGUUAGGCAUUAGGCAAAUGAACUUAUUAAACUUUUAUUCUUUAGCAUUAUAUAUGGAGUCAAAGGGUAACCUAAAAUUAAAAAAUUUCAACAGACAACAGCACUGUAAUCUUAAAAUCAAAGUGAUUGUAUCCUUAAGUCUAAAUGAUAAAAAUAAUAUCCUAAAAAUUUGAAAUAUAACAAAAAUUCCUAAAAACUAGGGAAUUGCAGAUAUUUAGGCAUAUUUUCAACCAGACUCCUAUAUCAAUUGUAAGUGCCUAUAAUUAACCAACAUCCAAAGUCAUGUCUUUGGCAUCAAGCAUUCAAGCUUCUAUGUAUAAAAUGCAAAAGUUUCCCGUUUUGAGUCUUGAAUCCUUGUAAUAUGUAUAUAUAUAUAUAUAUAUAUAUAUAUAUAUAUAUAUAUAUAUAUUGUUGAAAAUUCAGAACUACAUUGCUUAAGGACUUGAGAUACUCUAGAACUUGAAUUUGAAUGAAUGGAGAUAAUUGUCACACUCAGCCCUUAGCUUUUUAUUAACACACACACACACACACACACACACAUAUAUAUAUAUAGUACAAAGAAAGAAAAAGAGAGAGAGAGAGAGAGAGAGAGAGAGAGAGAGAGAUGGGGAAAGCUGCCUUUGGAUAAGGAUUAGACACUCAGCUUCCCACACACUCAACAUGACAACACAUAAAGCUUAAUACAUACUCAACCUCACUCACACACUCAAAACAACCUUUUACCUACACAGUUGUCUACACAAUACAGUUGUAUACAAUAUAUAUUUAACACUCUUCCUCAAGCUGGAGCAUAUAAAUUAAAUGCUCCAAGCUUGGAACAUGAGCUGAAGCAUAAGAAAGAUUCUUCUUCUAAGUUAGAUGAUGCGGUGAAGCUUGAUUGCUUGAUUGAAACCCCUGAUUGAAACUCAGUUGACUACCAAACUGGAAAGGACUGCCUCCAGAUGAAGUUGAUGAUUCCAAAUACAAAAUUUGAUUUAACUGGGGCAGGUUGCUGACUUGUGUGGAUGUCGAGGCUGCUGCUGUCGGAGUGAAUGAGGAUUGAGGAGUUGAUGCACUGGAGGUUGAUCAAAACAUUGAGGGAGAACUGUCAGAAGUAACAAACACAGUGGAUGACGAUGAUGUACUAAAUGUGGAGCCAAAUGCAGACUUAGUGGGCUGCCAACUAAAGUAGAACUUAGACCACAUUGGCAGCCCACUAAGAGUAGACCACCGAAGAGGAAGCAGGGGUGCCAAGUUCAAAAGAUGUGGCAAGACUUGAAGAAGGAAACAACAAAUUCCCAAAAACAAAAGCUGCACUUGCUCCAGGGCUAGACUUCAAAGUGAUUAGUAUUGAUUAGGAGACCACACACUCCCCCUCACGAGAUGGAAGGUGGAGUCAACACUUCCAGCUUGGGAUGAACAAUAAAGUACAAAAAUAGACAAUGAAACAUGUCAAAAAUACAUUGGCAGCAGAUUGAAAAUGACUGAAAAACAUUCAAAGACAAUUGGAAUAUGUUAAACCAUUAAGCAGAAGCCACAACACAAUGCUUAACCACUUAACAGAAGCAAACACACUUAACCACCUAAAAGGUAGAAGCAAACCAAAGCUUAACCAUCAAGAGCAGAAGCUAAACAUGGUGCUUAACCACUCAAGACAGAAGCAAAACACAAUUUUUGAAUGCUUAACCACUAAAGGCAGAAGCAACACAACAAUGUUUAACCAUCCAUGGUAGAAGCUUGACAUCAAUGUUUAACCACCAUGGAUAGAAACUUAAUGACCUUUUUUUAAUAGUAGGGGUUCUUGACCAGAUUGAACCCCCGGGAACAACAAUUGCUUCAAGGACAGAGACAAGGAAGAAAUUGCUGGACAACAGGAUCAACAAAUGACUUAUAAUAGGGUUCUUGACCAGAUUGAACCCUAGGGACAGGGAUAUUAAUCAGUAGACCACACAACAAAUGAAUAAAAGGACAUGAGACAAUGGAGCUGCACAGUAAAGGGUUAAGAGAGACAAACUAAAAGAAGCCUUGUGAGCACUUCUGGCCAAACUAAAAGAAAACUUAAAAAAAAAAAAACAGUAGCAUCCCUACCAAUCUUUCUUCAAAAGUACAAUGGAGGAUGACCAAGGAACAGAAAGAACAGGGUCUAAAGUUGACAUUUUUAGAACCAUAACACAAUGGAACUUCAAAGGCAGCUGGAAGGGGAACCUUGGCAACAUUCAAAACCAUACCAAACUGAGUAACUGCUUUUAAGGAAGCCAAAGCAAUGGGUAACGACAGUGGCCUUAAAUAGGACCAGAACAUGCCAUAGUUCUGUAGACAAAGAAGAAGGGCCAAAAGGAGAGGUUUGAGCGGCUAACGACGGUGGCUGACAGUAGAGAAGGAGAAUACGGGAUCAACAGAGGCCAUUUCUGAUCAAGGAGAAGAAGCCCUAAUGGAGAAAGAGAAGGGAACGCAAGGGCUGGAACAAUCAAGUUGUCAAUACCGGAAAACAGGGAUUGAAAUGUGCCCAAAAGGAGACAACAAAGCUGUUAAAACUGGGUGCACAGUGCCGGAAGAAGCCAUUUCUGACCAAAGAAACGAAACCCUAAUAGAGAAAAAGGAGGAAACACGAGGCUGACACGUUCCAGGUGGUCAAAAUUAAAAAACAAGGGCUGGACCGUACCCAGGACUGGCCGACGAAGCGACUGGAGGUGGUCCGGAGAGGUUCCGACAACAGGAAGGCAGCACGUGGCCUUCACGUGCCGGAAAUGAUGCGUUGCUGAUCACGCGACGUGCAGGGGUCGGUCGCGCUCUUCGAGGUGCACCUAACCCUGGUUUUGCCAGAAAAUUUGACGGCGACCGGAGGCAACGGCGGCAGACAGCGGACGGCGGCCAUAGCAGGUCAUAACGGGAUCGUUCCUGCUCUGAUACCAUGUUGAAAAUUUAGAACUACAUUGCUUAAGGACUUGAGAUACUCCAAAACUUGAAUUUGAAUGAGUGGAGAUAAUUGUCACACUCAGCCCUUAGCUUUUUAUUAACACACACACACACACACACACACACACAUAUAUAUAUAUAGUACAGAGAAAGAGAGAGAGAAAGGGAAAACUGCCUUUGGAUAAGGAUUAGACACUCAACUUCCCACACACUCGACAUGACAACACAUAAAGCUUAAUACACACUCAACCUCACUCACACACUCAAAGCAUCCUUUUACCUACACAGCUAUCUACACAAUACAGUUGUAUACAAUAUAUAUUUAACAUAUAUAUAUAUAUAUAUAUAUAUAUAUAUAUAUAUAUAUUAAAUAAAAGUUGCAUUUUUUAUAUAUGUAUACUUUAGUUGUUUUAUCCUUGAGUCGGCCCUGCCUUUCAACUGGAUGAAAUUCUUAAUUCAAGAGUCAUAACCAGAAAUGUCAAGCUUAUUUCCCUCAUUCUUGUGAAAUGAUGUAUUCAACCAAUCAUUAAAGCUACUAGGGAAGAUGCAGAUGUUAUCAAAGGACAAUUUCCUUGUUUUAGCCUUAAGGACAAGGCUGCUUCUGCACCUGGGAGUAUUGAUAGCCUAGUCCAACAUGAUAUGACUGAAUUUUUGGAGACUGAAGGUCUUGUCAAAGUCUAUGUUAGAAGAAGAAAAAAAGGUGAUUGAUGGUUGUUAUGCAAGAGGACAAUUAUGUGCCUAGAAGGACAAUUUUGUGUGUUUUAUUUAUGUGUAUGGUGUGGUAGUUAUUAUUAUUCUGGGUGUGGUUUUUUUGUUGUGUGUUUGUGAGAGGACCAAGAGAACUCUCUAUUAGGGCUUAAACCUAUGUAAAAUGUUGCUUUACUUUAAUUCUGGUUUAAUCCAAACUUUCAAUAAAUAAAAUUCUUGUCUUAUUUGUGUGUUCGAACUCUUGAAUUUAAGCAAAAAACUCGAAAGAAUGAGACAAAACUGUGUUCUUUCGGCUGGAGAAGUCUCAUUAAAUCAGCUAAACUAACACAAUUAAGGGAGUCUAACUUAGUUAGUUAAGGAGGUGCAUGAGUUGUUAUAAAAAAAAUAACACACAUAUAGGCACAAACACAUAACAUACAUACAUCCUAAUUAAGGAGAGAAUAAAACAUUUACACAGUCCAAUUUUAGGUUUUGCUAAUUUAGCUACCAUACUAAAGCUUUUCUACAUAUACAUGAUAUAUAGACCCAAUAUUUGUUAGAGAAAACUUAGCUAGCAUACUAAAUGCUUUUCUGCAUAUAUAGAUUAUGCAAAUACAAAAUAGAAAACCUUUCCCUGACAAGAACCCAGGUACAAAUUAGAAGCUGCAAGGGCUGGGGCAGGGACAAGGAUAGUGUGUUUAGCAAUUUUCCCAUUGAAGAGUGUUGUCUUCCACCUCACUUUCUUAGAACUUGUAGUUGGGCUUGGGCUCCUUGAAGGAGAAAGAGUAGUAGUAGAACAUGAAGUUGCGCAGCCAUCCUCAUCUUCUCAAUCAGCGCUUCAGUAUUCACUUGCUUAGAUAAAAUUUCCUCAAGUUGUCUCGGGUCAAUCAACAACUUCACUCUCCACACCCCAUUCUUAGCUUUUGGCAGCACUUCAAGCGCUGACCCAUGUGACAAAUUGUCAACAUAAUCACAUGCUGCAGAUUUGCACAUUUCCUCUAAAGACGUGCUUCUUAAAGGGAUGGUAGCCUGUCAUGACCUCUACAAAUUCCUUGGCUUGCUUUAGUCAACUGGACAACAAUGCAAGGCCUCUUUCAGUGUGAAUACCAUUUCCUAUGGUAGCUCAAAACCUGUGUGAAGUGCUUGUUCAUCAAAUUCUACAACUUUUGUUGAUAGAAUGUGUCCUACUGUGUCUCAUGUAAACAUUGCCUUUACUAGCGCUAUUUGUUUUGGUAGUUGGCAUUUCAGAUUAGGUCAUCCAAAUGUUCAUAGUAUGAAAGUUGUGCUCAAAUUGUGUAACAUACUUUUUUAUCAAUACAACAGGUUCUGAUUUCUGCAUUGGCAAGUGUCAUUGUCUUCCCUCUUUCCCUUCCCUUACUCAGUACUCUAGUACCUUUGAACUCAUUCAUACAGCUUUGUAGCAUCCAUCCCCUUUCUUAUCCAGCGCUGAUUAUAUAUAAUAUGUAACCUUUGUUGAUGGUCACACUGACUUGGGUUUUUCUGUUGAAAUGUAAUUAUAAAAGUCUAUAAUCUGUUUAAAUUAUGGUGGGGGGCUAUUGGGAGUUCUAUUGCAAGCUCGAGGUGAGAAGAACAAGAUGUACUAUCAGCAGCACACAGAUUCUCAAGUUGUUGAUAAUCUCAUUGGUGUCAUCUUUGCUGCACAUGACACCACAACAAGUGCUCUAACAUGGGUCCUCAAGUACUUGCACGAUAACACCAAUCUAUUGGAAGCUGUGACGGUCACACUCUUUCUCUCUUUCAUUAUUCAAUUUUAUUUUCUCCAAUUAUUGCUUAAUUUCUCAUUUUUAUACACAUUUUUUUCAUCAUAUCAUCUAUAAUGUUUAGAACUUAAAUCAUAAUUAAUAUGAAUUUUAUAUUUUUUAUUAUUAUUAUCAAUCAAUUUACAUUAUAUGAUAAUAUGUGAUUGAUUAUGUAAAAAUUAAUCAUCUUUGUAUAUGUUAUUUACUCGUAAUAUUAAUUAUUAUUCCAAUUUUUUUAUAUCUUCUCUCUCACUUAAAGUACAUAUGCCCCCAAAGCUUGUCAACUCGUAAUAUUAAUUAUUAUUCCAAUUUUUUUAUAUCUUCUCUCUCACUUAAAGUACAUAUGCCCCCAAAGCUUGUCAACUCGUAAUAUUAAUUAUUAUUUCAAUUUUUUCUUUUCCUUUUUAUCUUUUGUGGAAAGUAUGGUUAUGAUAACUUCAGCUCAUCUCCAAGGCCUGAUUCAAAUUUAAUCUAGUUUUUAUUCUCAUUUUUUAAAAAUAAGAAUUUAAUUAAUAUCUCAAUCAUGCAUGAUUAAUUUUGUUAAAUAUUAGAAAGGUUGUGAAAUAAUUAUAAUACUACUAAACUGAAUUUCAUCAGGUGAUCCAAGAAACAUUGAGAAGUGCAAGCAUUUUGUCAUUCACAUUCAGAGAAGCAGUGACAGAUGUUGAGUUGGAAGGUUACACUAUUCCAAAUGGUUGGAAGGUCCUUCCACUCUUCAGAAGCAUUCAUCAUUCUGCUGACUUCUUCCCUCAGCCAGAGAAGUUUGACCCUUCAAGAUUGGAGGUAAAAUAUGUUGGAAAUUUAACAAUGAGUUUUAAAUUAUGAUAAUGGAGUAUAAAAUAAAAUAACUCAUGCAUAUAUAUCCUUAACAUAUAUGUGAUGUCAAAACCCAUUAUUGCAUUCUUUUUCUAAUCUUAUUGAUGAAUAUCUCUCUCCUUUUACACAUCCAACAACAAAAUAUCUCAUUUAUCUAACUUCAUAUAUAUAAGUGUGCACAAAUUAAAUAAAUGAAUAAAAUAAUACUACAUUAUAAUAAGAAUUCAAGCAAUGAUUUCGGGACUAGGGGUUAUAGAGGGUGGGGGGGGGGGGGUUAUAUUUUAUCUUUUACGUCAGAAACAUAAGGUUAUGAAUGGUUAGAGAUUAUCCUGCUGUAAAGUCCCAUUCGUUACCUAUUUGAAUCUUCCCCUUCUAAGGUGAUUCAGUGUUUUUCACAAUCUUGCGAGUAUCAGAGGCACGUGAUAUAAAUUUGUAGGGUAGUAGGAUAAUUAAUUUAUUUCUCUAUCCUUUUUGCUCAACAGCAGACAAAUAUUGCUACAUAUAUGAUAUUAUAUUAUUUAAUAAUAUAAUAUCAAUGCAUAAUUUUUUCCACUAAUAACAUACAUCAUAUUCAUCUGUAUGACAUAGUGACAUUAUCCUUAAGGUAUUUGUGUAGAAAUUAAGGCUGAGACAUAUAACCACGAGCAAAUAAUGCCUGAAAUAAAAACUUUGUAACUUAACCUUUCUUUGUAGGCAUGAUUAUUGUGACCAAUUAUAUAACAUUUUCCGUUUAUAGAGUUCAUUACAAGCUAAGAAUUAGCAUGGGUCUUGCAUGAACUUUUUUGCAAAAUUAGUUUGUUAGCUACGAUAGAGAUCUCUCAAUUAUAUAGUGCUAGCUGCAUGUUCCUUAAUAUAUGGAAAUGGUCCUUUUUGACGCAUUAAAAAAAAAGGGUUUCUUUUAGAGUGUACAUUCCAAAACAUUAUAGCCACUACUAGAAAAGUGAUUUUGAUAUUUGAGUUAGAUAUCUUUUGAUUUUGACAAAGGUUGAAUCAUAUAUGUUUCAGAUCUAUUGUUGUAAAUUUAGAUUUGGCUCAGAUCUCUUUUAUUUUGAUGAAGUUUGCUUCUUUUGAUAAAUUUUUGUACUUAAUUAUGUAAAUUGUUGUAAUAUGUAAUUAAAUGAUUUUAUAAUUGUUGAAAAUGAUGAUUAGAUUUUUGGUUUCCAUCAAUGUAUAAUUUGUUGCUUAAAACUACCUGACAACAAGGACAAAAAACCACAGAAAAAACCAAAAAAAUAUAAUAAAAUAGCACCAAUAAAAAAAAUUCAACUCUAAGACAAUUAUUAUAUACUUGUCUUAGAAUGGUGGACAAACUAAGUCGGUUAUUAAAUGAUCGUCUUAAUUUGUCAACCAUUCUAAGACGGUCAUUUUAAUAAUUGUCUUAGAUUCACAACUAUGAACAGGACAAUCUAAGACGGUUAUUAUUUAAUCGUCUUAGUAUCUCUAUCAUUCUAAAUCGGUUAAAGAGAAAAUCGUCUUAGAAAGUAGAGUAUACUAAGACGGGUUAGGUGCAAAAACCGUCUUCGUAGAUCUACCUAAAGGUCUUAGAAUAAUCAUCUUUCUAAGACGGUUCAACAACUGUCAUAGUAUAUGUGAUGCCAUUUUACGACAUGCUCUUUCAAGACGGUUAAAAACCGAUUUAGAACGACCUAAUCAACCAACUUAGAAAAUGCUAAUUCUAGUAGUGUUUGGUCAUCCAUGCAUCUGUUUUUAGGGAUUAUACAUUGAGAAAUGAUAAUGUCUAAAAGAAUUGGAAAAGAGCAUCUCAACAUUGCAUUAUUAGGGAUAUAAUGACUUUGUUGUGUCUUUGUAUAUAUCUUCAUACUUAAUUUUAUUUAUGAUUCAAUCUUUACAAAGGGAUUUGGGAGAGAUAAUACAUAAAUUAGUAGAUGUGGGUGAAAAUUGGAAAAGCAGUUAAUAGAGAAAAAUAUUAAUAUUGCAUCAAUGAUAGUUAGGCAUGCUAGGCUUCAACAUAAUUGCAUUUUGAAAUCAUCUUUUGUUCUCUUCUUGUUUAUUUUCUUGUUUAUUUUAUUAUUCUUGCCUUUUUAAAUUUAAUUUCUUUCUUUCUUCUUAUUUCUAUUCUACUUGCUCUUCUCUUGCUUAUGAAUUGGAUAUUUAUCAACACAAGUACAAACAAAGUCCUUGUGGACUUGAUACUCGAUCUUUCAUUUUAAUCUUUACUACUUGUGAUAAAAUUGGUACAUUUGUCAAUCUGUUAACAGUAACUUGAUAAUGCGAUUCGCAAGGCGUUCGAAAUUGGUUAGGUAUUCGUUCACUGUACCCCUCUAUGGCAGCUUGAACAACGAACCCUAAGGGUCAUCAUAAAAAGAUGGUGCAAAUCACGAUUCCAACACUUGAAGCAUGGUUGGCCAAGAGUAAGGAAACAAUUCUUGUACAUCCACUGAUACCACGAAAGGGCAGGGUCUUCCAUAUAGAAUGCGGCUACGGUGAGUCGUUCUGCUUCAGGUAUGCCUUGGUAGUCAAAAAAUUGUUGAAUUUUAAAAAUCCACCCAAGUGGAUCUUGCCAUGUCAAAUUUGGGGACCUCUGGCUUCAUGUGUGGUUUGGUGGACAGAGGAGGACGUGGUGGUGUUUUGGGUGAAGGUGGGGGAAUGGUGAGGGUGGCAAGCUGAUCCAGGAUGAUUUCAAUCUUGUUGUUCAACUCUGUGUGGCCUCUGGUGAGGUGAGCCAUUGCUUCUUCCAAACAUUCAAUUGAAGCUUGGCGGGUAUUGUGUUUCAGCAUAAAGGCACGGAAGGAGGAGCAGGUCGAACCAAAACCAAAAUGUUAGGUAAUUUUAUUCCACUGAUAAGAAAUAAAUUGUAAAGAUAAUUUUCCUGUCUAUUCUUAUUGAAACUUCAGAUAUUUAAAGGGUAACACAAUACUGCAAAGCACAAAACUAUAAAGCCGAUAAUGGACAUAACAGAAAUGCCACCUAAGGAAUAAUAGAAUUCCACUAAAGGAGUAACAGAAUUCAACUAACAGCCUAAUGGUUGUCUAUCAAAGGGAGAGGGAAUUCUCUAGCGGUAUCAGACAUAAUCCUCUAAAUGAGUGGGCCUUCAGGUUAUACUUUUGGGUCUGCUAUCUCCCUUGUUAGAAUUCCAAACAGUAAGUUGUAAUCUAGGAUUUCUCCAUGUCAAAGAUGAUGGAAGCUUGCUUGUGGGGCUUCUAUGGAGGCUGGAUCUUUGAGCUUCAAUGGGGUCCUUUAAUGGUGAUUUUCCACCAUGGGGAUGCAGCGGAAGACAAAGGAAAAGAGGUGAGAGGAGGCGCCAUCCAUUAAGGAAUAAGCCAUGGAAGAAAGAGCUUCACCACCAUGAUGAGCCUUGGAUAAGAAGCUUGGAGAGGAUGCUUCAAUGGAGGAAAAGAAAGAGGGAGAGAAAGAAAGAGGGGGGAGCACAAAAUUGAAGGAAGAAAAAGGGAGAGAAGUUGAACUUUGUGUUGUGUCUCACAAGACUCUCAUUCAUCAAAGUUACAACAAGUGUUACACAUGUUUCUAUUUAUAAACUAGGUAGCUUCCUUGAGAAGCUUUCUUGAGAAAACUUCCUUGAGAAGCUUCUUUGAGAAAACUUCCUUGAGAAGCUAGAGCUUAGCUACACACACCCCUCUAAUAACUAAGCUCACCUCAUUGAGAAGCUUCCUUGAAAAGAUUCCUAAAGAAGCUAGAGCUUAGCUACACACAUCUCUCUAAUAGCUAAGCUCACCUCCUUGAGAUGAGAAGCUAGAACUUAGCUACACACCCCCUAUAAUAGCUAAGCUCACCCCCAUGACAAAAUAUAUGAAAAUACAAAAAAAAAAAGUUCCUACUACAAAGACUACUCAAAAUGCCUCGAAAUACAAGGCUAAAACCCUAUACUACUAGAAUGGCCAAAAUACAAGGCCUAAACGAAGGAAAAAACCUAUUCUAAUAUUUACAAAGAUAAGCGGGCUCAUACUUAGCCCAUGGGCUCAAAAUCUACCCUAAGGCUCAUGAGAACCCUAGGGCCUUCCCUUGGAUCUCUGGCCCAAUCUACUUAGAGUCUUUUAUCCAAUGCCCUUGCGGGGUAGGGUUGCAUCAUUCCCUCCAUCUUGGAAAGGAUUUGAACUCAAAUCCCGAGGUUCUUCAUACUUUGGGCUCCUUCCCUCAACACCUGUAAAAAGAACAAAAACAUAUGUAUUAGUGGUGUUUGGUAUGUUGAAGUAAGGUAAGGUCUGAAAACCCAUUUCCUGGGCAUCUUCCCAUGAAGGAACAUGGUUUCUCACCAACUCAAUGAGUGGUGCUACAAGUAUAGAAAAAUAUGGGACAAACCUUUUGUAAAAGUUUGUUAAGUCAUGGAAGCCCCAAAUUUUUCUUAUACUUGGUGGAGUGGGCCACUCAGGAAUGACCUUUAUUCUCUUAGGGUUCAUGGGAACCCCUUGAUCACUAUUUGAAAAAUUAAGAAAAGUAACGCAAUAAAACAUACCUUUUUCUGUAUUUUCAUAUUGAUUAUUCCUACCAAAAAGUAUGGCAAACCUAAGGUGUCCCAUAUGAGUACCUAAGUUUGUAUUGAAACUAAAAAUAAGAAAAAACCUAUCUAAUGGGUCCCUAUGUACACACACCAUGAAGAUGUUAGGUGUACGAGUGAUUUUACAAAAGAGGGUUGUACCACUCAAAACAUUUAUCAUACCACCUAUUUUAGGGACUUGGUGCCUAAUAAUACCUAUUUUAGGCACCAAAAAAGCACAAGGAUUUAAGCUCUUGCAAACCAAACCCUCAUCCAACAACUUCUUUACUUGAGGAAUAAACUCAAGUCCAAGAGGUGUGGCAAUGCUAGCAAGUGUCUUUAUACAAAAGAGAAAAUGUGGAGAUUGUCUAAGAGGGAAAGUUUCUUUAAUGUUUGUCUUUAUUGUAAAAUGAGUUUGCUUCUUAGCUAACCUCUUGGAGGAGACACUUACCUCCUUACACUUCUCUUUAACCACUAAUGGUUGUCCAUCUUCUUGGGGGUAGAUUUCUUCACUAGAUUCUUCCCCUUUUGCUUCUUCACUUUCACUAGAGGAAGGUGAAGUAAUAGCCUCAUCUUGGCUACUAUAAAUGUCUUGGCCCCUCAUAAUCAUGGUUUUUGUGGUGGGGCAUUGAGAAGUAAUGUGUCCUCUUCCAAGACAUUUAAAGCACUUUAUAGAGCUAGUUUUCUCUUGCAUACUAGCCUUAGGGGCUUGCUUUUCUAUUGCCUUCCCCUUAUCAUCUUUGGGCUUAGAAGGUUUCACCCCUAAGAUGCCUUGACCUUGGUCUUUCUUUGGAUAAGAGUGAGAGCCAUAAGAUUUUGAAGUAGACUUCUUUUUAAGUUGUUGCUCUACCCUUAUUUCCCAAUCUAAGUUAGCCUCUACAUUGUCCUUCCCAUGGAAGUAUGAGAGGUUAAUGUUAGCCUCUUGAGGCUUUCUUUCCUUUUCUCUUCUAUGGGAGUGAGGUCUAAGAUGUGACCUAUGUCUUCCUUCGUAAUAGUCACGAAGUUCUUCACUUAGGCUCUUGCAAGAGUUAUGACUACUAUAGGAGGCAUGUUUUUCUCUUUUCAUUUCUUUCAUUAUUUUUCUUCUUUCUUCCUCUCUUAUUUUCUUUCUUUCAUCUUGACUUAUUUCUUCCACUCUUCUUUUUUCCUUUUUCUUUUCUCUCUUGUUUUUCUUUCCAUAACUUGAGGGAACUUAAAUCAUCUAAGAUUCUAGAUAAAGGGUCUUUAUGACUAGUACCCUUGCCAUUAACACUAGAUGAAUGAUGACUCAUGUUGGUUCCUAAGUUGUGGUUCUUUCUUGUUGGAGGUUUGAAAACAAAAGGUAAAAGAAACUAUGGUUGAAACUAGCCAAAAUAAACACUAAAAGAGGUGUGAAAGAUAAGGUAAAAACUAAUUGGUAAAAUGCAAGCUAUCUAGGCGGUUUGACAAUGGAAAGUAAAAGAAAUAAGCUACGAAAGUAAGCAAGAAAUGUAAAUUAGGCGAAUCCUAAGAGUGUUUGGAUGACCACAUUUAAGGUUCCCAACAAAACACUCACAAUCCUAAGGGAAAAUUGCCUAAAAUUAUUACACACAAAAAGAAGUAGGGUGACCUAUUGGAGGCUCCCAACUUACUUCCAACGAAAGGCCUUUUUGUUACAAAAUUUGAAAGCAAUGAAAGUAAAGUAAAUUGUCAAUUACAAAAUUGCAAAAAGGUCCUCAAUUUUGGUGGUUUUUCUCUCUUUGGUGAUUCACUCAAUUUGGAGUGCUUCUUAGUCCAAUAGCUCAUAAGGUGAUUGGCCCCUUGCUUCUUGACUCAAAUUCUUCAAGGGAUGGCACCAAUCCUCCUUUCCAAUUCCCUAUAUGGCAACUUACAAACAAGGAAACAAAGAGACAACAAUAACCAAAGACCAAAAAAUGAAAUGAAAGUUAAACCAAUGGAAUUUUAACAAGACAUUUUUUUCUAGGAUUAUUCAACAAUUAAAGCAAUGAAAAGGACAUAGAAGCAAGUUAGGACUCAAAGAGAAACUUAGAAUGGCUCUAGAGUAGAGUAAAAAAACUAAAAAAAAGACUCAACAAAACUCUAGCUUUGGCACUUGUUUUCACACUAAUUUUCUAUUGAAAUUUCGGAACUAAGAUUGGUAUAACAUAGGCACCAAUUAUAGAAUAAAUUUUGAGCCAAAACAACAAGCACACUUCCCUUUCACUUUUUUUUUCCUGGAUACUGAUUUUUCUGCCAACUUGUGUGAUUUUUAGUAUUUUUUCCUUUUAUCCAAAUCACUUUUUUCUUUUUGUAUAAAUUUUUUACAGAUGUCUAGAAAAUUCAGUAAAAAUUUCAGCUCAAAAUUCGAUGUAACAAAUUCUCAGUAAUUUUUACAAGUUUAUAUGUCCAAGCUGCCAGCACCAGCGAUUUUUUUUUAAGCAUGGUAUAUUGAUUGCCUUGGGCUUACUUUCAACCUUACUAUGUAUGUAGAACUCACUAAUCUUGUUUACCACAGUUUUAGGAGUUCAAUAUUCACUUAGGAAUAAAAUUUCAGCCAGCAAUUCAAUCACCAAAACUCAAAUUCACAAUAGACACAAUCAUAAGGAAACCUAAAAGUUCAAGAAAAGGUUCACAAUCAAAGACUUUCUAAGAAUUUUGCAUGAACAUGUUAAGGACUAAUUAACAUGCAAGAUUUGACUCAAAUCAAAUAAUAGGCUAAAAGAAUUUCAUACACUCAUGAACAAAUGAGUUAGACAAAGAAACAAGAAAAUAAAAUUCAGCACAACAUAAGAAAUCUUAUGUGACAAGUUUCAUGAUAGACAUGACUUCUAUGACAAAACUACAAUAGGUGAACAAGUCACUCUAGAUUUUUGAGGUUUUCUUCUACUUUAAUAUUUUUGUAAGAAUUUUAUGGUUUAGGUUUCAGCCAAAAAAAAUAACAAGACAAAACUCAAAGGAACCUAAACUCAACAUAAUUCAUGGUUCAAGAACAAGAACAAGAAAUUUGAACCAUAGAAAAUCAAAUCUAGCUUCUAUAGCAAGUUUAAUCGGUGGAAACUCUAAAGAAUCAUGUUAACAACAUUUAGCACAAGACAUGUGAGGAGAUACAUGGAGAAAAAUGAAGAAACAACAAUGGAAGAGAAGGUAAAGCAAAAAAUUUAAUGGAGGUUUAAGGAGCACCUACUUGAAGCUCUUGUGCUCUGAUUACCACUUGAUGGAAGCUUGCUUGUGGGGCUUCUAUGGAGGCUGGAUCUUUGAGCUUCAAUGGGGUCCUUUAAUGGUGAUUUUCCACCAUGGGGAUGCAGCGGAAGACAAAGGAAAAGAGGUGAGAGGAGGCGCCAUCCAUUAAGGAAUAAGCCAUGGAAGAAGGAGCUUCACCACCAAGAUGAGCCUUGGAUAAGAAGCUUGGAGAGGAUGCUUCAAUGGAGGAAAAAAAAGAGGGAGAGAAAGAGAGAGGGGGGAGCACGAAAUUGAAGGAAGAAAAAGGGAGAGAAGUUGAACUUUGUGUUGUGUCUCACAAGACUCUCAUUCAUCAAAGUUACAACAAGUGUUACACAUGUUUCUAUUUAUAGACUAGGUAGCUUCCUUGAGAAGCUUUCUUGAGAAAACUUCCUUGAGAAGCUUCUUUAAGAAAACUUCCUUGAGAAGCUAGAGCUUAGCUACACACACCCCUCUAAUAACUAAGCUCACCUCCUUGAGAAGCUUCCUUGAAAAGAUUCCUAAAGAAGCUAGAGCUUAGCUACACACACCUCUCUAAUAGCUAAGCCCACCUCCUUGAGAUGAGAAGCUAGAACUUAGCUACACACCCCCUAUAAUAGCUAAGCUCACCCCCAUGACAAAAUACAUGAAAAUACAAAAAAAAAAGUCCCUACUACAAAGACUACUCAAAAUGCCUCAAAAUACAAGGUUAAAACCCUAUACUACUAGAAUGGCCAAAAUACAAGGCCUAAACGAAGGAAAAAAACCUAUUCUAAUAUUUACAAAGAUAAGCGGACUCAUACUUAGCCCAUGAACUCAAAAUCUACCAUAAGGCUCAUAAGAACCCUAGGGCCUUCCCUUGGAUCUCUGGCCCAAUCUACUUGGAGUCUUCUAUCCAAUGCCCUUGCGGAGUAGGAUUGCAUAAAAAGAAAUGCAAGAUUGUUCAUGUGUUGAAAUUUUGCUAUUUCAAUUAAUAAAUAUAUAAAAGCAUCUUUGUAUUCUUCGAAGUUAUUACUCCCUAAGAUUAAGAAACUUGAAGCACCGCGCACAUAAUAUGCAAAAGCAGCAACUCUUGCCGUGGAAUAACUGGGUUGGCUUUACGUCAAUAUUUGCUUAUUAACUAGUGUUUUUAUUAUAGGAAACAAGCUCUUAAUUUGGACAAAGAACAUGGGACAGGACCUAAACCGAAGUGGGUCACUGAAAUGGUGCAAUCCAAAUGAAAUGCAAAAGCUGAAUCCCCUGUAAUAAUUACACAAUCUGUCCAAUUGCUUUUAUCUAGAGAGCCUUAAAGCAGUCUUUCUAAUUGUUACUUUAUUGCAAAUGAAGUGCACGAUGGAUCUGUAAUUGAAAAUGCUACUGCACAGUUUAAUACAAAUACAAUGGAUAAAAACAAAAUGAAUGUAAAAGUAAGGAUUCUAAUCGGUUGACAUAAUUAUCUUUGUCCCAAAUGUAAUUUUGUAACUGCAAAACAAAACAUAUUCAAAUUUGGCCAAAUAUCAAACUUUGAGAAAUUAUUAGGAAAUUUAAGAGCAACAAGUGUCUAUGCAUGUUCUCAACCAAUGUUUGCGCAACACAUUCAAAAUGUAUAAAUUAUAAGAAAUAAUUAAUAACACUUUGCUUGCUUCACGUCAUGUGACGUUUAAAGAGUGAUUAUGUGAUUCAGAAUUGCUUAAUUUCUCAUACAAUGCAUGUAAUUUUUAGAAGAAACAAAAUAGUACGUAAAGACCAUUUCUCUUCCUUUUAUUCCAGGUUGCCGUAAUUUUGUGUGAGUAAUUAUCGCUUUUCGAUUUCUCGUUUUAUUCUCUUUCACAAAGAUAUAUCAGAGUUUGUCUGUGGCAUCAUGCUUUAAUCAAACCAACUUAAAAUUCAUGUAUAUAAAAAGAAAAACCAACUUAAUAUUCAAAAUUUUCAUUUGCCUUUUGUUUCUAAAACUGCUACCUUUCUUUCCUUUUUUUUUAUCUUUAUCCAAAAUUUAUUAAAUAACAAUCUCGCGUAGUUUGGGGAGGCACAAACACACCCAUUAUUUAGGCUCCUUCCCUCUAUCUUGUUUUUAUUCUCACUUACACUCUAAGGCAACUUUUCUCUCUUUACGUAUACUCUCCUUUCUCUGCCCAUAAAAAAUUGACACACUUUAAUUAAUCACCCACUCACAUGCGCAUGUUCUGACACACACACCAAAAUCUCUCAUCAGUAAACUUCAAUUCAGAGCGUGUUUGUCCCCGUUCAAGACACAGGAUCUCCGUCCAAGCACAAGCUAUCAAGUGUGUGUUUGAUUUGAUGUUAGAAAAUAUUAUAAAUCUAAAAUUGAUAUUAGAUUGAAUUUUACAUGUUUAAUUUUAUGUUAAAAAAAUUAUAAAAUUAAUUUUAGAUUUAGAAUUGAUUCUAAAUUAAUUAAAAUAAUUUUAAAUAAUUUAUUAAAUUAAUUUUACCAACAGUGUAAGAAUAGCUUCCUAACUUUUUUUCAUACCAAAUGGGAAGUUGACGUGGUUUUGAAGUGAAAGUAUAUAUGUUGACAGUAAAAAGUUUCCACCCACAGCACUCUCACUGGCCUAACAAUAUUUACUGACCCUCCCACGUACUUAUUGUCUUGGCAACCAUUUCUUCAAUUCGAAAUGUCUCAUUUUCAUGCACAUAGUGAUCAUAGUGCUGCUGUGCAAAUGCCACUAGCAAGACUUCAUCAUUGCACCAGUAGCAACCAAGGCAUGCAUAUAUGUCCGUUUAGUUUUGGUACCAAAGAGCAACCAAAGUCUGAGAAUUUAUGCCUUGGAGAAGCUUCACGAAUUCUUUUGGAAAAAUCCGCUAAAUUAACAAUCUUCAAACACUCGAGAUCAGAAUAUAAAAUAGAGAAAAUUUGUAUUUUCUGAUUGAUUGAUUCUGUACAAAGGGUCCUCAAAUAUGUAGGUACAAGAAUCGGCUUAAAAAUUCCUCAAAAAAAUCGGCUAAAAAAUCCCUCAAAAAAAAAUAGGCUAAAAGUGAGAAAAGAAUAAACUAAAUCUAAAGGUAUGAUCCUAGUUAAUUGCAUAAUAUCAGUAAAUCUCCUUAAAAUAGGCUAUAAUAAUGAAAACAAUAAAAAUAAAAUGUAGAUAAAGCAAAGCCAACCAAAUCUAUACCAUAUCUCCAAAUGAGAGUCCCUAUCAUAUAAUAUCCCAUAAUUUUCAUAUCUCAAAAAAAAAACAAAAAGCAUAUUAGCCCAAACAUCACCCGUAGUCCCCACAUGAGCACAAACCACUUUUUAAGUGGUGAAAUCCCUUUCGAAGCAUCAAUGUUAAAUUGUACGUUAAUGUAUGUCCUUAUCACAUAACUAAAUGCAUGUUAAAUCAUGUGCAAAACCAGGUUAGAAAUCGGAAGUACUUUCACCCACUAAGACACACAGGGGAUCUUUAUAUAUAUAUCGUGAGAGAUGAACUGAAAGAACAAUAAGACACGAGAAACUAUAGGUUCAAAGACAGGUUGUCUUCAACGAUAGAUUAUUCGAAAAUUAUCUUUAUCAUCAUUUCCUAUAAUUAUAAAAACUAGACACACAUUACGCGUGGCGCGGGUUUAUAAAUAAUUAAAGAAAUAUUUAAAUAAAUUAUUUGUUUGAUAAAUUAAAUUUAAAAAUAUAAUUAUCAAUGAUAUUUCAUAUCAUUUUUUGUUAAAUGCGACAAAAGAAUUAUGUAUAAAUUAAAAUAUUUUUUAUAUAUUAAUAUAUUUAUAAGAAAUAUUCUAAAAUCAGAGAUUGACCAUUCAAUUAAAGUUGAUUAACGCGAAAAUAAAAAUAAGCGUUGAGUAUAAAUUUUAUGAGGGUAAUAUAAGAAUAAAGUGAAAUUGACAUAAUAAAGCAGUCAAAGAAAUAUAUUUAAUGAAAGAAAAAUAAUCAAUCAUAAUGGUAAAAAAACAUAAAAAUGAUACAAAUAAAACACCAAAAAUUAUUCAUUUAAAUAGACUUUUUGUAUCUUUUGAUGAUGAAGAUGUAUCUUUUGACUUCUUGGAUGGUUGUACCUUUGGACUUUGACUUCUGACAAUUUGUUUAUUCGCCUUUUUUUUUAAUGGACUUUGUGAAAUUUGAUAGACUUGUUCAUUAGAUGAUGAAGAUGUACCUUUUGACUUAUUAGAUGUUUGUAACUUUGGCCUUUGACUUAUAAUUAGUUUUUCACCUUACUCAUCUGAUGAUAUUUGUUGUGGUGAAGUAGGCUUCUUUUUUAAUAAAAAUAUUAAUCAGUGUACAAAACUAUUAAUAUUUUGUACAAGAAGUAAAAAUGAAAAUAAAUUAUAAAUAUGGUUACAUGUUCUUGAGGAGAGAAUCAUGUUGAAUGAUAUUUUUUGAGAUAAAAGUACUUGUGACGGUUUCAAAUCCUUCCUUCAAGUUGUGAGCAUGAUUUCAAAAAUAGAAGUAUAUUUGCAAAGGAUAUACGAUAUUGGGGUAUGUCAGUCUUAUUUGCACUUUGGGUGUGAAGGAAUUCAAAUGUUGCGAUGUUUAUAAUUUGUUGUGCAUCUCGAUCAAACAUUCUGAAUGUUGCUACAGCUAUGUCAUUAGAGACUUUCAAUUGUAUCCUCAACCUAAAAGAUAUUUUUAAAAUUUUAAUAUUUAUUUAAUUAUGUUAUAAAAAAUAAUUCAUUAUAUACAAAAUAUUAAAUCUUGUUGUUGGAUACUUGGAUGGUUGUUUGCAUUCUGUACAAGUGUAUUGAUUUUCCUCUUUUGUAACUUUCUUUUGGCAUCUCUCACAUGCAACAUAAUUCCAACCAAACGUAUAGUUGAUCUCAUUGAUUGUUGCAUGAAUUGUGAACAUAUUAUCCUGUUAUUUUAUAUAUGUUAAAACUAAGAAAAAAAUAAAGUAUUAUUAAAUAUGAAUAUGAAGGUCAUGGUAGGUUAGCAUACUUGUGAUUCUUAUAUUCAUUCUUAUAUCUUGCAAAUAUCUUCUAUUUUUUUACAUUCUCUUGUCAAGAUCAAUCUUGACCGAACUUGAAGAAUUAUAUACAUAAAGAAAAGAAAAGAGAUAGAGUAGUAAGAUAUAUAAAGUGUAAAAUAUAAAUUUUGUUAAAGAUUUUAAAUGUGUGAAAGUAAUCAAACCUCUGAAUUUCUUAACUAUGAUAAAAGUGAUUGUAAUUAUCUUUGAGUCUUCUUCUUAGAUGUUGAUUGUUUUUUCAAAUCCUAAGACUAUGUUUGCCACAAGUAACUUUAACAAUUUCAUUCUUGAAAAUAACCGAUAAAAAAAAGAUGUGAAAAUAUAAUGUUCUAUAUUACAUUCUUCAUUUCCAUGUGAAAAUAUAAAGAAAUAUAUAAUGAAUUCUACAAAAUUAUUACUUAAACAAAAUUUAUAAUUAAUGAUAAAGAAAGGGUAAUUUAUUUACUCUUUUAGUAGCAAUUUCAAUCUCCUUAUUUUUGUUGGUUUGUCAGUGACAAGUACAUCUUCUUCAUUUCCAAGUGCAUGAAGUGUACUAAUAAUGUCAAUAAUAAAAUAUGAGAUAUGAUAGAGUGAAAUAAAUUAGUAAUGCAUUUGCAAAAUAUUAAUGUUGUACUUGUUAAGACAACUCUAUCAUCCAUCUUUGAUCUAGAGUUUUCAUUGAACCAAACUCAACAUAGUGUAUUGGAUGCUAAUGGAUAUGUUAUUGAUUUUCUUGACAAUAGUAGUAAGUAAAAAUAAUCUUUUGAACGAAAAUGCAAAUCGGAUUAAAAUUAAAAAUAUUAAAUAAAUUUAAUCAAUAUAAAAUCUGUUUAAAGUAAUUUAAUUCAAUUUUUUUUUUUUGCAUUUUGUAAUGUGUAAUAUUGGAGAUAGCAAAUAAAAUUAUAUUUGUAAUACUUAAAGUUGAUGUGAAAUAUAUUUCUUUAAAGACUAAUGUGAAAAAUAAAUAAAUUUCAACUUUGUUUAACCAACAUAUUUUUUUAUAGAUUAGUUUGAAAACUAAUUUUAGAUCAUGAACUUUGUUGAUGUGAAAUAUUUAUUUUUUAUAUAUCUUUAUAGAGCAGAAAAUAUAUUAGAAUUUAGAAAUUACUAAUAUGAAAAAAUUGAAUGAUAUGUAAAAUGUAAAAGAAAGUGAUUAUAAAAUACAAUAUAGAACAUUGAAGAAUUUGGGUCUUGAACAUGAGAAGCAUUUGGAGAUCAGUAAGAUUGAAUUGAAAUGAUUUGGUAUAGAUUUUGUUAUGUUGUGAGUAACAUUGAAAAAGAAAGAAUGAAAAGAAAAGAGACGUGAUAAGUACAAAAGUAUAAUGUUCUCCUUCCUCCAUAUCAAUUUUGCUGACAUGACAAUAUAAUAGUCAGGAGGUCAACUUUUAUAUAAAUUAAUUUUAGAUCAUGAACUUUUUUUAUGAGAAAUAUUUAUUUUUAUUUAUAUUUAUAGAGCAUAAAUAUUAAAAAAUAGAAAUUACUAAUAUGAAAAAAUUGAAUGAUAUGUAAAAUAUAAAAGAAAAUGAUUAUAGAAUGUAAUAUAGAACAAAGAAUGAGAGUCAUGAACAUGAGAAAAAUUUGAAGGUCACUAAUAUUGAAUUAAAAUAUUUUGGUAUAAAAUUUUAUUAUGUUGUGAGUAACAUUGAAGAAGAAAGAAAAAAAAAGAUUGACCGACACAAAAGAAGAAUAUUCUCGUUCUUCCAAGUCAUUAAAUUUACUUACUUAAUAUGAGGAAUUCAACUUUUAUAUAUUAUAAAUAAAUUGUCAAUAUAUUAUUUUUAAGAGAUUUAUCACAAUCAUAGUUGGUACUUCCUAAAUAAUAUUUUUUAUAGUAGUGUAUUUUUAGUUACUUAGAUGGCAUUACUAGGGAAUAUUUUGGUUAAAUGAAAUAGAAUAAAAUAAAUUUUAAAAAAAUAUUUAAAUUAAAAUAACAUGAUUAAAGUGUGAGACUCGUUGAAAUUUCUGAAAAUUUUCCUUUUUUUCUUUGUAGAGAAAGUAUAAAAAAACAAAUUGACUUCUAAAAUUUUUCAUAAUUUCUUUGACUUUCUUUCCCAUUAAAAUUUGAAACUUUUUUUUUCCUCUUGUUUUCCUUUCUUCAAAUCAAAAGGAUCAUAAGGUCUAAUAGCUUGAAUAUUUCAUCACAAUUCUGCCACCCGUGAAGACGAUAGAUGGAGAAAAAUUGUAAGAUGUAAUAACGUUCCCACGUACGGGGACCAGUGCUAUUGUAUACUAUUUCCAUGUUGUACAGUUCAAUUCUAUUAUUACGAUUUGUGAUGUAAUCCCUUACAUCACUUCUAAAUACUAAACUCUAAGCAAUUAAUUAACGAUGGAAGUCUUCUCGACAGCGAAGGUAUUUUUUUUUUCUAUUUGUUUCUGGAUUGUUCUCAUGAUUUUAGUGCAAAAAAAAAAAAAAAAACCUAAUACAAAAUAAUUCUUAGUCAACAUCGCGUAGGCUGAAUAUUAUAUUAUACUAAAAUAUUGUACUAAAAUAAUCUUUCUAGCUCUAUAUAUAGCCCACCAAGCCUUAGCAAUUUGAGAACAAAACAAGUGUUUCGAAUAGAUUAUCCUAAGUCUUUGGGAAUAGUGCUGCAAUGGCUUCAAGUCAGGAGGAGGUGACCCUUUUGGGAGCUACUGGAAGCCCAUUUGUGUGCAGGGUUCAUAUUGCCCUCAAGUUGAAGGGAGUUGAAUACAAAUAUGUCGAAGAAAAUUUGAGGAACAAGAGUGAACUGCUUCUCAAAUCCAACCCAGUUCACAAGAAGGUUCCAGUGUUUAUUCACAAUGAGAAGCCCAUAGCAGAGUCUCUUGUGAUUGUUGAAUACAUUGAUGAGACAUGGAAGAACAACCCCAUCUUGCCUUCUGAUCCUUACCAAAGAGCCUUGGCUCGUUUCUGGUCCAAAUUCAUUGAUGAUAAGGUAAUUCAACUUUUCUUCUUUCCUUGUUUUGUUCUUAUUUGUCCCCUAAACACCACCUUUCAUGAUAUCUAUUUGUAUGUUGGAAUAAGUUAGAGAAACAUUUAAAAAAAAAAUUGAAUAAAUUCUAUUCAUUAAUUGUAACAACUUUGUCUAAAAUCGUAUUAAUUGGGGUGGGGUAUUAUAUAUGUUUCACAGUUGGUUGUACAGAAAUAUCAGCAACACAAUUUUUAACAUGCCUUUUUUUCAAUCAUUUUCUAUUAUUAAUUAAAAUUUAUUAAAAAUAACAAGUUUAAGUGAAUCACACUUUUAAAUCUUUCCUAAUCUUGUAAUUUUUAAUCAACUUUAUUCAAUAGUAUAGUUGUUAGAAAGAGUGUAGAGAUUGUUUUGCUAGCAGUUAGCACUACUUUUUAUGCUAUAUAUAUAACCCAGUUAAGUCUGUCCUAAUUAUAAUAUAAAUUAAGCACUAAUAAAUACUGUGAUUUAUGAAAUAGGUUUUUGGUGCUGCAUGGAAAUCCGUUUUCACAGCUGAUGAGAAAGAGCGUGAGAAGAAUGUUGAGGAAGCAAUUGAGGCUCUGCAGUUUCUUGAGAAU
rnacentral:lncRNA from 1 species